AACCGAUACCUUAUUCGGUUAAGGAUCAGGUUCGAGUCUAAAAAAUUGGCACAGUAUAUUGUUAGGGCCGAGUAAGGGACACACAUCAUCUGGCCUAACCUAUCAUUAGUACACCUCUAGUGUUAUGAAGCACGGACAUCUCUAUGAUUAGGCGUGUCGCAGUGUCCGACACUUGUACGACACGUGUCAGAUAGCUCAGACCGGUGUCCAAAAAAAAAAUCCUUUACUUUGACACUCCUUUGAUCAGUAUCCGACACCUGUAAGACACUCGUACGACACAAGUGUCCCAAAAAAAAAUGUUUUUUCUUUGGUUAUACUCACCUUAGACACAUAUCAGACAUAUCUACUAGAAUUAAAAAUGUGUUGAAACAACAUUAUUGAUCAAUGAGGGGUUGAAGACAUUACAUUUUGAUUACAAUAUUUGUAGCUUUUUCGAUAGUAGAUGGAUAAAUAAAGGUAAAAUACUAUCAUAUCUUGUUUUAAAACUUUUUUUUAAGAAAUAACUUCCUCAACUUAGAUUUACGUGUAUACAUUUUAAUUCUCAAUUUAUAUCUUUUAAAUAUGUAGCGGUGUCGGUGCCUUAUAUUUUUUACAUUAGCGGUGUCGCUGUGUCCGUGUCGUCGUGUCCGUGUCCGUGUCAGAGUCCGUGCUUCAUAACAUAACAUUUUUCUCUAUCGCUUCUAAAAUCCACUUUUUCCCCUUUAUGUUUUUCGUGAAGUGCCUUGUGAUAAAUUCUUUUAUUUGUUGCAGGUUGCCUUCAAAAGUGGUGAUUUCAAACGUCAAGUUAUUUUUAUUGGUGGAUUAACCGAUGGAUUUCUUGCUACCGCGUAAGUUCAAUAUUUCAUAAUUUCUGGCAUUGAAUAAUUUUUUGUGGACUGUAUGCCAUGGAAGAGCAGAAGCAAGUGUGAAUUUUUCAAGCAUGUGAAUUCUUAGUACAAUCCUUCAAAAAAAUUAUCAAGCCUGUGAAUCUAUAAUUACAAAAAACAUUAUGCUCACACGUAUCAGAAGAAAUAUAAGCCGCUGUAAUACCUUUGGUGCUUGAACUUUGUUAUAGUCUUUUGAGCUUGUUGUGAGUUAACAGCUUAGAAAAUGUUUCUUAUUUGUGAUGAUCUAUAUAACUGUGGCCUGCUUCUCAACCCCCUCUAUGUGUCUCAAAUAUAGUAUGUCUAUAUUAGAAGGGAAAAAAUUAAGUUUUUUCCCCCAACAUUCAAAAAUCUAUCAUGUUAAAAGAAUAAAGUGAAACACUUUAUAUAAAUAUAAAUAUAAUUCUUUGUAAAUUUCAAAUUUAUUGUUUUAACUUUUACAAAGACAACUUAAUUUUAAAAGACAGCAAUUGGUUCUAAUCCACUUGGUGUUGAUAUCUAGUAGUUUAAUUGAUGUAUGGUUUUCUUUUUUUUCAUUUGAAGAUAAAAUUACAAGAAGUUGGUAUGAUCAUAAGUUUAUUUGUAAAUAUGGUAUAUGAUAGGACAUUAUGACGUCAUUUGAUCCAUGUAGCUUGCCCCACUUAGUGGGAUAAGGCCAGGUUGUUGUUGUAGAAUAUCUGUAAUGGGGGCAUUCACCUCUCCCUUUUUUAAGCUCUGCAUCAGGAUAUUAACCUUAGAAGAGUUUCGUUCUAAUGUCCAUUUUCUCCACUUGUAGAUAUUUAGAACCUCUAGCAAUUGCUCUGGACCGCGAGAAUUGGUCACUAGUUCAAUUUCUUAUGUCAUCUUCUUACAAUGGAUAUGGCACCUCCAGUUUACAACAAGUAAUUAAUUAAACUUUAAUUCCUAGUGUUCUGUUGCUAUUAAUUUCCUAGUUGACAGUUUUUUGUUUAUUAAUUUGACAUGUUAUGAGCUCAAAAACAAGCUUUUACUUUAUAUGAUUGAUGUUGAAAAUAUGAAAAGUAAGCUUCCGGUGAAAUGUGAAAUUUCUUUUUACCUUGGCAUAGCAUACAUAGUAUCUGCACAAACAUAACCUUGCAAAGAAUCUGCUCUUGGUGAUUACAUUAGGUUUUUGUGGCAGAGAAUCUGCUCUUUGUUUAGGAGACCAAAACAAUGCUUGGGGUUUUGUAUGAGUUACUUGAGAGAUUAGCUCUCAGCCUUAUAAUUGUUAUUUAAGUUGCAACAUAGUUGAAUGAAUUGAAUCCCUUUAUUUCAGGGAUCAAACGAACUAUUUAUUCAUGAAUCCAGAAUUUCCUAAAAUUCUAUAUUUCUAUAUUUAUGUUCAAUUAUCUGAUUCAGGUCAGAAUUUAUUCACAACGACAACUAAAGACAAUUUUUACUUUUUGAUCAAAUUUAUGUAAAUAAUGUAUUCUGCUAUUUAACUAUAGACCUUUAGGAUUAUCACAAGCAACAGUGUAUUCAGAUUUCAGAAUGCACUUAUCUUUUUAUUAAAAAAAAAUGUAGCUUUUUGGUUAAGAGGGGUGCUAGUAGCAACACACUCUCUAACCCACUCUUUCCAACACACACUCUUCAAUUAGUUGCAAUUCAAAUGGAUUACAUUAAAUCAUGUAAGCCCCACAUAAAUUUAGCGGGACAUAUAUGAAUUUCAAUCAAUAAAAGAGUGUGUUGAGAAGAGUGUGUUACUAGUGUAAUUCAUUUUGUUAAAUAUUAUAAACUAAGUAUCCUCCUGAUAACCCAAGACCAUUAAACUAGUGACCUUGAACUAAAAAGCAUGUAGCUAUUUUCUUGUUUUUUGAAACAACAAAUGUUAGUAUUGUUACUAUUUUAUUGAAGGGGGCCCUAUAGAAAGGGACAAGUAAAUUUCUUCAGAGAGUUCUUUAUAUAAAGAUGGAGAUAGUAUAUUUGGAAUGCAUUACCUCAAUAUCAUGGCCGUUUAAGACCUUCAUUCUCAAGCUUUAAUGUGCUCUAUUUUCUUUCUCAGGUUUAAGUGAAAAGUGCAAUAUUAGUAUUUCCAUCUGAUUGAUGAGAAUAAUUAUCUUGAUGAUUGAGUUUGCAAUUGCUUGUUAAUUGAUUUUGAAGGAUGCUAAGGAUCUGGAUCAGCUGAUUAAUUAUUUAAUUAACAAAGAAGAUUCUGAAGGUGUGGCAUUACUUGGCCAUAGUACUGGUUGUCAGGUAAUAUUUUAUUCCAUUAAAAUCCUGAACCACACUUUACUUCCACUUCCUUUCUUGCUAUUGGCGCUUUCUGUGAAAGUUAAAAAAACUUUUCUUGUGUUUGAUCAUUUUCUCCAGGACAUUGUGAAUUACAUGCGUACAAAUUUUGCUUGCACCCGAGCUGUUCGUGCUGCCAUCUUGCAGGUACUUGUUGAUAGUAGAUCAGUUUAUGAACUUUUUAUGUAGAACCAAGUAAUCCUAGAGUACUUCUUUUUAUUUUAAGUUUUAGUAUUUUUAACAUUAAUAGAAUAAUAUUCUAUUACAAAAUUAAAAAAUGUUAAAAUUUAUAUUCAUGUAGUGAUAUGAUAAAUUGUAAGUCUGAGUGCGUAUUAGUUUGACCACGGUUAUGCCGUCAAACUGCAAAUUAGUCUCUUAACCAACUGAAUGACCUGCCCAGUUUUUUAGAACCCUGCAUAAGUUUGGAUCAGUUGCUCCUAUUUACUUUGGUUUUCUAAGUCUGUAUAAUUUAAAAUAUUUAAGUCAGAGGAUUGAAAUGUUGGAGUGUAGUGUUACCCAAGCCAAAAUGAAAUUGUAGAUGCUUAGUUUGAUAAAUGUCAAUAUAUAACUUGUUAUAGUGUCUGUUCUCUCUCACUGAAAGCUUUGUUUUCUAUUUCUAUUUAAUUGUAUAGGCUCCAGUCAGUGAUAGGGAAUAUCAAUCUACACUCCCUCAAACAGCCACUAUGAUUGACUUGGCUGCUAAAAUGAUAAGUGAAGGCCGAGGUUCAGAAAUAAUGCCCAGGGAAGCAGAUCCUUGUGCCCCAAUUACUGCAUACAGGUGAGAGUGUACAUAAAUAAUGUAGCAGUACAUAAAUACUAAUAUUCCAAAUAUGUGUAAUCUUCGUUUUCUUUUAGAAACUAAUGAUGCUCUUUAUUUUUUUUUAAAAAAAAACAAAGAACCAAUAAUUUUAUUCAAUUGAAGAAAAUCUUUUGCUCUUCAUUUAUCAGUCCAAAAUGGUUGUAUGUAUAGAAGUCCAAUAAUGUUAUUCAAUUGAAGAAAAUCUUUUGCUCUUCAUUAUUAUCAUGUAUACCAACAUUUUUCAAAGAUUUGUGUAUUUCUAAAAGAGGACCCCUACAGCCUUAACAUGUGUCAAAAUAAUGAGUGCCUAUUGCCUAUGUAUGGGCAUGCCCAAAUAAGAAAUACCUGUAGCAUAAAAAUUUUAAAUUUUUAAAUGCCUGCUAAUUCACAAGUAUGAUUGUUUUUCUAUAUUCAUCAUACUUUGAAUUAUAUGCUAGCCAAACGCCCAAACCUAAUUUCCUUUCAAAUAAUGGUCUUGGGAAACCCAAGUAUCCUUCCUUCUGGUUUCAUGUCACUUGCAAAAGCCACAAGGUGCGAAAUCUGGAUGAUGACAGCCUUCCAAAGAAGUCAGUGCUAUACUGUACAUUCGUACAAGGUUUUAAGUUGUUAUAUACUUUUUAACUCGGAUAUAUCAGUUAUCCAAUAGACUACUUGUCCCCUAUUAAGUAAUCUGUUUUAAAAGACAAUGUGUUUUUUACACCUUUUAUUCUUCUUAUUUCUCCCUCCUUACUUUUGUCUCCUUAGCGGAAUAAUACCACAUGCCCAACUUGUUGAUGCGUGAGAACUAUUUACUGUUUAUUAUUAUUGACAUUGUUUCGAUACACCAGAAAAGAUAUUUUUUGUCUUAUGUUAUUUCUCUUUUCCUAACAAACAGUUUCUUUUGCAGGUAUCACUCCCUUUGUGCAUAUAAUGGUGACGAUGACUUGUUCAGCUCUGACCUAAGUGAUGAUCAAUUGAGGAUGAGACUUGGGCAUAUGUCUAGCACACAUUGCCAGGUGUGCAUAUAUAUCCAUGUAACAUUAUUAUUGUUCUUUUUAUUCCCUAUAAAACUUUUGGCCAAGAAAAACCCUUGCUAGGUUCAUUUCCUCUUUCUCCUCUGUGUAGAAGGUAUACAAUAAUGCUCUUUUGAAAUGUAAUUUGGCAACAUAAGAGGGCAUAAAUUGCAAGCUAAAAGGUCGCCUAGAGUUGGCUCAGAUGGUUAGGGAGCUGGGUUGAAGAUAUAAGUUUACCUAGAGGCAAUCAUCACCUUCAAGCUGGUUUUGUAGGGUUGAGUUAGACCCAACUCUCAAUUUUAAGAUGGUAUCAGAGCCUCUCCAAGAUCCGUUUGGUUUGGUCACCUAGGUUUCCACUAUAGGGCCACCCACCAAUUUAUAAACCCAUGUUCGGGACAUCUGAUGCGAGACUUCUUAACAGUCUGGGAGUUCGGUUGAAGAUAUAAUAAGUUAAUACUUUGCUAGUGAUUCCACAUAUACCAAAAAAAGAGGGCUUACGGUUUUUUACCAUCUAAUUAUCAAUAGGAACUCAUUAUUUGUCUAAGUGAUGCUAAACGUUGGUGCCUUUGUAGUGAAAUGAUACCCUGAGUGCUGCUAAAUGUUGGUGCCUUCAUAGUGAAAUGAUACCAUUUUGAUCAUUUUCAUUUUGGUGCCUUCAUUGUAAAAUGAUACCAUUUUGAUAUCAUCUUGGUAUGGCAUGGUUUUUUGGCAGGUUAUAUUUUCAAUGGCUGAUGAGUAUGUGCCAGAUUAUGUUGAUAAGAAAGCACUAGUUGAACGGUAAAAUCUCUAUUCCUAUCUGGUGCUUUUUGUAUGCUAAAUAACCGGAUUAACCGCAUUUUAAGAACACCAACAUAUAUGAUGAUGAUGGUCAUUGAGUACAUUUUGAAUACGUGCAGAUUAUGCAGAGCUAUGGGAGGUGCUGAGAAAGUAGAAAUCGAAUAUGGAAAUCACUCCCUUUCCAACAGAGUUGAAGAAGCUGUCAAUGCUAUUAUUGACUUCUUAAAAAGAGAAGGACCCAAGGGCUGGGACGAUCCAUGGAAUUAAUGGAGGUGUCUAGCAAAUUUUGGUUGCUAUUGUAGUUGUUUCCUUUUCGUCAAUAUUUUCAAUCUUUUAUUUUUGUCUUUUUUUUUUUCCUUCAUUGUUUGGGUUGGUUAUUGCAGCCUUAUUUUUUGUUAAUAUAAUAGUAGAUGCUAAUAUACAUUACCUUAAGGAAAAAAAUUGUUUUUUUCUUUGAAUUAUUUAAUAUCAUGACCGUAGCAUUCGUAUAGCACAUGUAUGUCAUGUGUUUGGAUCCUCUCUCACAUGCAGCAGUGAGUUUCCAGCAAAUUGGAAAAGAGAAAGAAAGAGACAAGACAAUAAGAUGAGAAAGAAAACACGAGAGGUAGAAAGAAUAAUAUAAAUAUUGGGUGUGGAGAUUUUUUCAGGAUAGCUCUUAAACGGUGCACCUAUCCCUUUCAUAAUCUCACAAGAACUAUGCAUCAAAAUCAAAUGCGACUAUAAUAUUUUAUUUCAAUUAAAGAUUGUUAAUUUUUUAUGAAGGCCUAGUUUGCAAAUAUUUAAUCAAUUAAAUACCGUAAAACAAUUGUGUAAAAGGUAAUUGGACCAUUAUUUAUGAUGCUCUGGUGAUAAUCAACAGACAUGCUUCAAUGUCUCUUUUGGUGGCAACUGGCAACAAAUAAAAAAGAAACAAGUAUUGUGUGUUGUGGGGUUGUCUGCAUCAUGUUAUGUGGUCACAUUCCUAAUGACAUAAAUGCCCCAUCUGUCCCACAUAUUUUAUCUUUUACUUACUGCUAUUGGUAUUAUCAUUCUGUGAUGCUGGCUAGCUAGCUAGUUUGUGAUUCAAAAUUCAAUCUUCACAGUUCAUACUUCGUUGUGUGUCGGUGUCGGUGAGGUGCACUGUUGUGCCAACGUUCACAUUUCAGCUUGAUGAUGCUCCACACUAGAGGUUAAGGGCACACUAUCAAGACUGAUUUUUUUUGUUUGAAAAUGAAACUUGUAUUCACUGAUUAUACUACAUUAGGACUUACUAGUAUUCAUCGAAUACGGUAUAAGUACGAAGAUCCAUAAAACUAAUGUCUUAAGGUUUUGAAUUAAGAUGUGGUAUCAAACUCACUUAUGUAGUUGUUCAAGGUUCAAUGACGAGACCCCUCAUAACCCAACAUUUGUGUUGAAAAUCUUUGUCACCAGGGUGUUCAGACGGCAUGUCCCUUUGAUGGAUUUCCAACGAUAGCGCAUGUAGAUGAAAAAGCUUAUGUUUGUAGGGGAUCAUACUGAAAAUAAUGGAUGGACCCAUACUUGAGGGAGAGGAAUUUGAGUAAUAUGCAUAAGAUCCUGAGUUAGAUCUUCUACUCUAUUAUAAAAAAUAAAAUAAAAACUAUAUCAAAUUAUUUUCUCUCAUUAUUAUUUAUUUUCUUAUGUUUAUCUUAUCUCUUUGUCAUAUAUGGUACUAGUAGUCUACUAUCUCUAGAAAUAUAUAAUACUAUACACUUGAAAUGACAUGAAAUAUAUAAAAAAUUUAAUAGAUAUAAAUCUUAAACUAUAUUAUAAAAAAUAGAAAAUAUAAUAAUUUUUCAAACCAAUUAGAUUUGCGGAUUCAUGGAUUUAAAAUCAUAAAUCCGUUAACCAAUUCAAACCACUUCGAAUUUGAAUGGGUUGGUUCGAAUUAGACUCACACUUGAAUGGUUCAGAUAAGAUAUACAUUGAAUCGACUCACCUAAUUUAAUGAGUUAUUAGUAUCCAUGAACAUCUCCAAAUUAUAGUAGAUGACUCGACUCAACAAACUUUAAACUGUUUUUAAUUUUUAUUUUUGGCAUUUUAUUAAUAUAAAAUUAACUUGUAAUACGAGUGAGAGUGAUUGCAAUUGCAUUAUAAAGAAUUCGUCUCUUCUCAAUGUGAGAUUUAAAUUUUCCACAACAUUUUUUUUUUGUCAAGUUUUUCACAACAUAUUUGAAUAUCACAAAAAUGUGACAUCAUAUAAAUAUGGGUCGGGCUAAACAGUGCCCCGAGGCACCGGUUAAGCAUACCUAAAAAGGAAAUAAAAAAUAAAAUUUAUAUUGAAAAGACAAUUUUUUAUACUUUUGAGGCAUUGAAUGCACGGAUUUUGAGACAAAAUUUCUAUUUUAACAUGCUUAACUAGUGCCCGGAGGUAUUGUUUAGCAUUUUCCUAUAAAUAUUUACCUAACACAGUUAUAAACAAACAAAGAGAUAAAAGAAAUCAAUAAAAAAAUACAAAAUUUUGUCGUAACCAGUUCACAAAGAACUUGUCAUGGAGUAUAUAUUCAUAUUCUCUUGGAUCCUUUUGCUCUUUUAUUGAUGCUACUAAAUAUUUAAUUAGAUUUUCAUAAUUAACAAAUUUAUACUUUGGUUUUGUCUUUUAUUUUUACAUAGUUCAUUUAUGUCACCUAAGGAAGUUAACAUUUACCUUCGGAAUGGAGAAUGAGGAGUGUCCUUUUAAUUAUGAGAUUAAAAGUGUAUUCCUAUUAGGUGGUGUUUAGUUUUUGUUUUAUUCAUUGGUGUUCCACUUAUAUACGAAAUCUUUGUUUUGUAAUUCUGCUUUUUCCGAACUCUAUUUGUCUUGUGCAAAAAUCGAUUAUUAAUAAUAAUAUAUUGUUAAAAAAAGUUAACAUUUGCCUUUGGAACGGAGCUUUAGAAUUUUGUUUAAAAAUUCAAUCAUUAGAUAAAGAGUCUCAGCGAGCUUAGCUCAGUUGGUAGGGAUAUUGCGUUAUACAUGCAGGACGAAGUUCGAAUCCCGAAUAUCUCACUUAUCCAUAUUUAUAGUUGGAAUUUUUAGUCACUAUGUUACUUAAAAAAAUAAAAUAAAUAACUCUUUCAUGUUUCUCAAAAUUAAGUUUAUUUACUUCUUAAUUUAUUAUUUCAUCCUUCAUAUUUUUUUUGACUAAUAUUUCAUCCUUAAUCUAUUAUAAUAUAUUAAAAUCGAUUACCAUCAAAGUUAUUAAUUUAUCUUUAUUACUUUUAACCAUGUUGCAAGUUUUAUAUACUUCAUUGUAAUUUCACUAAAAAAAAUAUUUUAAAAAAAUAUAAAAAGAUGAUAUGCUUAAAUAUAGAAACAAAAUUGAUUAUAGAUAAAAACAAAAACAGAACAAUCUAUACAAAAAAAAUAGGAAAAAAAAUAAAAAUAAAAGAAUUAUAGAAAAUUUAGUCAAUAAAAAAAUUAUAGAAAAAAUAAGAAGAAACCACGUAAAUAUAGAAAUAUAGAAAUAAAAAAACAAUACUCUAUAAAAAAGAAGAAAUAUAAAUAUAUAUUUUUUAUUUAUAAACGAAAUAUAAACAAUAUUACUAGAAAUUUUACUAAAUUAUCCUAAAUAUUCCAGAUAAAAUUUCUAAUUUUUUAUUAGAAAUAUACACAGGACCAUUAUUUAUCACUUAAACAUAAAAAUUGAAUAAAUAAGUUUACGAGAAAUAAUUAACACAAUAAUUCAACUUAUAUUUUAACAAUAUUAUAUAACAAAUUUUUAAAUAUUUAAUCUUAAAUAAAUUUUCUGCAUUAAUAUACUGACAAACUCAAAUAUCAAAUAAAAGUCAAUAGAUUUUUGCGAAUGCACGGAAAAUAUUAAAAUUAAAAUACAAAGACAGAGGUCAAUGUAAAACUCACAAGAAACGGCGGUGAAUCUUUAUCAUUAAAUUGCGGACGUAAUGUUGUCAAACCAAUUUCAGGAGUAUGUUAAAUCUUACAACUUCCAUAAAUAGCAACCACAAGAACAACACCAAAAGUAAUUAAUAAGGGGAAAAAGAAAAUUAAAGCUUUGAUUAGAAACAAGCUAGGGAAGACCGCAGUUCGAUCCCCGCAACUGUGAUUGGGAGGGGUUAAAAUCACUUGAUGUCAGAACUGACGCGAACAAGAUUAAACUUGUGGUGAAAAACCAAAAAAAGAAAAAGGAAAAACACAAAAUAAAGAAGAAAAAAAUCCAAAUUUGAAAGCAAAUCAAAGUUCACCAAUAAUAAGUGUGUUUGAUUCGGAAAACGGUAAGGACCGGACAGAACAGUACAAGACAGAACAAGAUAAUACAGGAUAAGUCAAAACUGUACCGGAGAGAUAUAGGAAGAUAAUAUUUUUAUAUUCAAAAAUAAAAUGAGUAUUUUCGUAUUUUUUAUAGUUGUACUGUGGACAAAAAGUUGUCAUGUGGUUCAGUGAAGCACAAAAAAUCUUGUUUUUGUCAUGUCUCUUUGCUACCUAAUUUGUUCAGUCCCAUAACCAGUUUCAAAUCAAACAACGUACAACAAAAGUUGUGCUGUCAAGUCCUCUGUUUUUUACCGGAUCAAAUGCACCCUUAAUUAAUUCUAUAUCUUUUUUAAUUUGAUAUACUUUUCUUUUUAUAUUUUUGAUAAGAAAAAUGCUAAACGGUGCCCUCGAGACACUAGUUAAGGAUAUCAAUAUGGAAACUUUAUCUCGUAAGCUGUGCAUUUAAUGCUUUAAAAUGUAUAAAGUUAUUCUCUCUUAUAAUUACUUUUGCCAUUUAUUUCUUUUUUUAGUAUGCUUAACAAGUUCCCGGUGGACACUCUUUAGCAUGACCCUUAUGAUAAUCAUAAGGAUGGAUUUCGGGAGAACUCUGGUUCGAUUCCUGGGUGGAACAAUUUCUUGGUUAGACUUUACUUACCUCGCGGCCGAACUCUGAACUACUAGGACCUCUUUCCAGUAGGAAUCAGAGGGUUAUAGACCAGAAAAAAAAAAUACUUCUUUUAUAUCUUUAACUUAUAUGUCCGGGGCACGGGUUAGCAUGAUUCAUAAAUAAAUCAUUCAUUUAAAAAAAGGAAAGAAUAAUGAUAAUAAAUAAAACUAAAAAGAUAAGCUAAGAAAAAACUUUGAGGUUGAUGGGUUCUUUUUGUACAAGAACCUCCCAAAGAUGCUUUUCAUGAGUCCAAUGUGAAACAACUUCUUCCCUUUACUCUGCAACUUACCUCAAAACCCCAUUUUCUGCAUACUCUUCUUUUCAACCUUGUAAGUAUCACCACAAUUUCUUCUUUCAUUUGUCCUUCUUUAAACAAACUUUUGGAUUUUAGUGUAUUUGUUAGAUUUUCUUGGAUUUGUAUCUUUUUUGGAACUUUGUGAUGCCAGAAAAAGUAGUUAUUUCAUCACCAACAACUCAAUGGUCGAUUCCAAUACUUCAAUGGCGAGUUGGGUUACUCACUGUUUUUGUUUUAUUUGGAAUGUUCAUUGUUUGGAGCAUUGAUGGUUGCACUGUUAAGAAUGUUUUUCAAGCUUUAAGGUAUCGUCGUUCACACUAUCUUCCUCAUUCUUCACCUAAUUUUACACUUUCAAAUCAAAAACUGUUUCCUAUUAGUUUAGAUCAAAACCAACCCAAUAAAACCCAUGUUUCUGUUAAUGUUACUUUAGCUGAGAAACUUGGUAAAAACUCAAAAAGUUUUGAUCUUGUUAAUGGGGUUGGAACUUGGGUUUCAACUGAAUUAGAGGCUAAUUUGACUUCAAAUCUUUUAGCUAGAUGGUUAGCUAGGGGUGGUGAACCUUGUAAAGAUUCUAAGACUGUUGAGAUUUCGAUACCUGGUUUGGAUUUUGAUGGUGGGAAUUUGGUAGAUUUGUCAGCUGGAGAUGUGCAUGAGUUUGUUUUUCAAGCAUUGGAUGAUUCGGGUAAGGCUCGUUGUUUAGGUGGUGAUUACUUUGAGACUGAUCUUUCGGGGGAAUCGUGGAAAUCUAGGCCUUUGGUGAAGGAUUUUAAUAAUGGAUCUUACUCAAUUUCGUUGCAAGUUCAUCCUGAUUUUGUUGGGGUUUAUAAUCUUACUAUGUUCUUGCUUUAUAGACAUUUUGAAGGUUUGAAGUUUACACCGUGGAGAUUUGUUUUUGAUCGAAUGGUUCGUAGUAUUGCUAUUAGAUUCUAUAAGAGUGAUGCUUUGAUGCCGGAACUGCAGACUUGUAAGGCUGCUGAUUUUGAAAGGGAUGUUUGGGUUGGAAGGUGGACAAGGCAUGGUAAGAAUGAUGACUGCUUUGUUGGUAAUGAUGGUAGGUACCGAUGCUUAGCAUCGGAUUUUCCUUGUAAAGCUCCUUGGUGUGAUGGUUCUUUGGGAGUUUUGGAGAGUAAUGGUUGGGUGUACUCGACGCAUUGCUCAUUCAAGAUGUAUUCGGCUGAGUCUGCUUGGAAUUGUUUGAAGAAUCGAUGGAUUUUCUUUUGGGGCGAUUCAAAUCAUGUUGACACAAUACGUAAUAUGCUCAAUUUUAUUUUGGACUUGCCUGAGGUACAUUCUGUCCCGAGACGAUUUGACAUGAACUUUUCAAAUCCAAAAGACCCGUCUCAAACCGUUAGGUUUACAAGCAUUUUCAAUGGUCAUUGGAAUGAAACACAAAACUAUCUAGGAUUGGAUUCUCUGAGAAAUGAAGGGUUUCGAAAUUUGUUGAAGAAAUACUUCUCAGAAGAUACAAUCCCGGACACUGUGAUCAUGAACUCCGGCUUGCAUGAUGGUGUCCACUUUCGUAAUAUAAGGGCAUUCACUGUUGGAGCCGAGUACGCAGCAUCUUUUUGGGCAGAUGUUAUGAAGACAGUGAAGCAAAGGGGAUUGACAUUGCCAAAAGUCUUUUACCGAAACACGGUUGCAACCGGUGGAUACGCAAGAUCACUAGCAUUUAAUCCUAACAAGAUGGAGGUGUUCAAUGGUGUUUUCUUAGAGAAAUUGAAGCAAGCGGGCGUUGUAUCAGGUGUGAUUGAUAACUUUGAUAUGACAUUUCCGUGGCAUUUUGAUAACCGGUGUAACGAUGGAGUUCAUUAUGGAAGGGCUCCGGCAAAGAUGAAGUGGAGAGAUGGUCAAAUUGGUCAUCAAUAUUUUGUGGACCUCAUGUUAGCUCAUGUCCUUCUCAAUGCACUGUGUGCAAGAUAAGCUUCUGUUAGAAGAGAUUAUUUGAACUUGAAGAUUAUUAAGGUAGAUUCCACUUGGUUACACUUUUGCAUUUUUUCGGAAAAAUUAGAUUUGGUAUUCUUUGUUGCUCAUAUAUUCUUGUCCACUUGUAGAUUAAUACAACAGAGGAUUUUAACUCCUCAAAACACAUUUUACUACUAUCAUAUUAUACUCUUAAAAAAUUCUGUCUAUUUUUAUAAUAACUCGCUCAAUUAAUUAUUUAUAUGGUACAAUACCUCUAAUUAUUUUACAUUUCUUUCCUUGUAAUUAAUAAGUAAACAGUAAAUGCUAUUGAAUGAUGAAAUCACUACUACUACUAUAUUGUAUCAUUUUAUUUUUUUUGGGUACAUAUAUUGUAUCAUUUUUUUUUUAUUCCUGUGAUUUAGUCAUCUCAACUCAAUUCUAUAUUUCAUAUUGAGACCGAUGUAGUAGAAUUCAUGCAAUAAGUUGUACCCAUGUGGAGUAUGUAAUCUAUAAUCAUGUGGUCAGUUUUGAAUGAAUUGUUUUGUGGCUUUCUUGUUGGUUGUGGGCAACUGCAAUUAAUGAUGGCACCAAACAAACAACUACCAAAGUUCUUAAUUAGUACUCCAGUGAUUUGUAAGAAUAAACCAUAUAUGUUAAGAUACAAGUUAAUGUUUCAUGUUAAGAGAAAUCCUUGAUUAGGCACAACAGUGGAAAUCUUCACCAUUCAAUAUGUUUUUUUCAUUACAUAACUAUAUGAGUGUCUUUGUACCAAAAGAAAAAAAACUUACGAGUGUCCAUAUAUAAUGAUUCAAUGGUCAAAUUUAUUAAAAAAAAAACUUUGAUAAAUUAACAUAUUCUCUGCGUAUAACUAAAGUGGUUAAGUAUCGAGAUAAUUAAAAUUUAUUUAAAUGGUUGAUAUCUCUUAACAAAUGAUUUUUCAUUCGCACUGCUUAAGGAUGAAAUUUUGCAUAAAACUAUUAAUUGGUAUAAGUUUAAACUUUGAUCCUUGAUGUAUUUUGUUCCAAUUUUUCUUAUGUAAUACUAUAUGUCGAACUUUUCUCUCCCGACCCCCCAUUCUUUUAUACCUCCCAAAAAUCUCAUUUUGCUCCUUGCGGUUUGAAAAAAAUUUGCCAAAAAACUUCGGUUUAUAUUCACUGAAGCCUUAUUCCUUUGACAAAGUGUUUUGACGCAAAUGAUGAAGAUUUUAAGUUUUUGCUGAUAUAUUAGACCAUUUCGGUAACUGCGAACCGAACAUUAGCGUUUUCGGUACCCAGAAAGCGAACGUCAGCUUGUUCAGUACCUGCGAACCGAAAUGUCCUAGAUUUCGGUACGUUGUUACCGAAAAUUUCAUUGGGUCGCUGGAAUUAGGCAAUUUCGGCAGAAGUUUACCGAAAUAAAUGUUUCGGUACCUGCGAACCGAAAUGUCCCAGAUUUCGGUAAGUGGUUACCGAAAUUUUCAUUGGCUCACUGGAAUAAGGAAAUUUCGGAAAACCGAAGUUUAUCGGCAUGUCAAAUUCCUUCGAUAAACCGCAGUACCCCCAAGAGCAAAAACGGAAAUUCAGGGGAUGGAAAAGAAAUGAGGGGUCGGGAGAAAAAAGUUCCUAUAUGUCGUCAUUUUAUGUAUGGAAAAUUUGAAACAACUGUUUUGAUCUGUGAUAUAGGAGUGGACAGUGAGCUGGGCUUAGAAUUUAACCCAAAACUUAAUCUUUAUCAUAAACUCAAACAUUCAUUUUAGGGAGUUGUUUUUAACGCCUCCAUUUUUAAAAGAAGAAGAAGAAUAUACCAUCAACUGACUUGAUUGUUGAAGUGUGCAGAGAUUAUUGAUAUGGUUUUUUGUGUUUUUGGUAUUGCGGAAUUUGGUAUGAUGUGAUUUUAGAGAGAAAAGUCUCCCCAAGUUUAGGGUUAUAUGAAGAAUACUAAAGUUCUUAUUUUAUUCAUAUGUUUAUGGCUCUAUAUAUAGAGCUAUAUAAAAACAAAUCACAUAUAUUUUUAAAACAAAACUAAUCCUAUAAUAAAUUCUAAACAAAUCUUAAAUAUUCUAAACAGAAAUAUAAAUCAUAAACCCUAAUAUUAUAUUAUUUCAAAUAUAAAUCUAAACUAUAUUUAAAUAUAAAAUCUUCCAAAAAAGAUAUUUAGGCAUUAUUCCCAACAAUUAUACCACCCCUUCCUUCACAACGGAGGUACAACCAUCAACAAAAAACGAUUACAAUCUUUUACGGUGCGACUUCCACCGCAUUAUCAACUAGAUAUCAAAUAAUACGGGAUUUUUCAUUUUAAAUUAAUCAUAAAAAAUGCAUGAUUUUAAUCUUUAAAUUCAAAACUGAUUUAAAACACACCGUUAACACAUAACUUUUGACAUAUUAAUUAAAGAACUAACAUUAUGAUUAUAAAAAAAAAAGAACUAACAUUAUAUAAUUAAUAAUAUACUUAUUAGAUUAGAAACAUAAAACUUGACAACAAAAAAAUUAAAAACAUAAAAAAAAUUAUUAUUCAAAUAAUAAAAACAUAAGAUAUUUAUUAAUCAGUCAAACUAUAUUAAAAUCAGUCAAAGAAGAAUAUAUUUAAUAUGAUCAUUGUAAGUAUUUUUAUUUUUAUUUUCUUUUUUGGUUACAAAGUAGUAUUUUGUUUAAAAUGCAUAAUCUAAACAAUUUUUUUAGAAAAAAUAUAAACUCUUUCUUAAUUUUUUAAACAAAAACAACUUAAAUACACAUUGACUAUUAGUAAGAAAAAAAAGAGGGCACAUUUACUUUUAUUUCAACCUUAACGACAUUGAGUCAGAAAAAUGUCUUAACGACAUUUGUCAUAAUAGCAAAAAUAUCGCUUGAACGUAAGAAGCUGGAUCAUAACAUUUUUACCAGAAAACAACAAUUCACAAAAAACAAGCAAGUACCUAAAUUCUUGUUCUUUCUCUUUUUGUUUUUUUGAUGCAGGAAAGUACCUAAAUUCAUUCAUUCAUUAUAUCGUUACUGUAUUUUAUUUUGAGUCAUGAUUGAAUUUGCAGGCACAAACCUUAAGGUAAGACAUUAUGCAUGAUGAUAAUACCUUAUUUAUCUAUUCAGAUUAUUGUAAAUGAAUGUUUCUGAACCAAACAACAACCUCUGAUUCGCAGGUUAAACAUGUUUUUGACAUGGGCCUCUGCUCUAAGGAUCACUCUUUUGCUUCUCCUUAUUGCUGCUAUUGUUUUCGCUUGCUUUACUCUCCCAAUUGAAAAGGUUCUUUUUUUUCUUCUGAGUCUCUCUCAUUUCAUCAUUCUUUAUGUAACAACAUUUAUUAAGCUCUUUAUAAUUCUUCAUUAUGUUCUAUUGGGGUGGCUGCAUUUAUGUUCAAUUGAUUAAUUUCCGCGUUUUGAAUAACUUUUUCAUCAAAUGGGAUUUGAUGAUCAUUGUGUUAUUACUUUGAUGCAUAUGUCAAUAGAAGAUAUCUAUUGAAUUUGAAUUUAUCCAAUAGAAGAUAAGAUAGCAUCUCAUAAGUUAUAACAUACCGAUGUACUAAUAGUAUAUUAGUAUUGCAUUCAAAUUGCAAUGCCAUUACAUGCACCACAUUUGGAUUUUCAUUCUUGAAAAAUCACCACAAACAUUUUGGUUCUACAUUUUUGCUCUGCAGAUUCUGAAGGAUUUCUUGCUAUGGGUUCAUCGCGAUCUUGGUCCGUGGGGUCCACUUGCUUUGUAAGUCAAUAUUAACUUUUAACUACUAACUGAAAAUUUCAACUUCCAAACGUCUCCUAUUGUAUUUUGGUCAAUCUCAUAGCCUUGAUGCCUGUUUAUGUUAGUGUCUAUGUGCUUCCAUAUUCUGAUUAGUUUUAUUUUAAUCAUAAAAUGUUGCAUGGAUGUUAAUAUUAGGCCGUUUAUGUGGAUAUUUGUUUGGUUAUUUUCAGGGCACUUGCUUACAUUCCUUUGACUAUAUUCGCAGUUCCAGCUUCUGUACUUACAGUAAGUAUCGUUAAUGAACUCACAUAUCUUAGAAAAUAAUUUAUUGAGCCACCUUACUUGAUAAUUUUUGCUCAGCUCGGCGGUGGUUAUCUAUUCGGCCUUCCAAUUGGCAUUGUUGCUGAUUCUAUUGGUGCAACCAUGGGUGCUGUAGCUGCAUUUCUUGUUGGUGGAACAGUAAGUUUUGCAUUUAUUUAUAGUACCAGAUGCUCUUUCUUCAUGUACAUAAUUCUGUGGUUAUAGUUGGGCUGCAUAUUGGUCCGUGCCUAUAGUUAUUUGUUUCCUCUGUGGUUAUUUAUUCGUAUAUUUGUUGCUUAAUACAGAUUGGGAAAUCAUUCGUUGUUUCUAAGUUGAAGGAUUAUCCACAGUUUAGAUCAGUGUCAAUUGCAAUUGAGAAAUCUGGCUUUAAGGUUAGUAUAGUUAGUCGCGUGCUUACUCAUUCCUUUGUUUGGUUAAUUUCAGUUCACUUGCUUACAUUCCUUUAAGAUAAAUGGCAAUUAAUAUUCAUUUUUCCAUUUUUUUCCUGGCUAAUGUCUGACUUUUUUCCUUCCAGAUUGUGUUUCUGCUUCGCCUUGUUCCGUUACUACCAUUUAACAUGUUAAAUUACCUUCUUUCUGUGACUCCGGUUCCAUUAGGCGAAUACGCGUUGGCGUCCUGGUUAGGAAUGAUGGUAUCUUCUUCAUCGGAAUUCUCAUUUUAAGUUACUUCUUGCAUGCCAGAUGGUUUUUAUUUAAGAGUUACAUUACAUAUGAUUAACGGAAAACAAAACAGGACACCUUUAAGAGCUAUCAUAGUUGUUCUUUUUUAUGUGUGACCAAAUAAAUACAAGGUUAAAUUAAUCAGGAAUCAUUGAUUGUGACUGUUAUUAUAGCAAACUAGAUGGCGUUUCAGUUACAGCAAUUUCUUAAUACCUCCAAUGUUACUUUCGCAGCCAAUAACGAUGGCACUUGUGUAUGCUGGAACAACGCUCAAAGAUCUAUCUGAUGUGACACGUGAUAUGGGAGAGUUCUCGAAGACUCGUUUGGUAAGAGAUGCCAUCCUCAAUUACGAUAUACUAGCGUGAGGAAUUGUCUCACAUGGUCUACGGUGGACUCAUGCUUGAAAAUUGCUUAAAACUUCAACAAAGACAGAUGUCACCACCGUUGAGUAUAUUUCAGAAUCCUUUGUGUCCUUAUGGUAGAAAAAGUGACCUGAUUGGUGUUGAUUCGACAAAAACAAGAGAUAACGAAUAUAAGUUGAGUUUUGAGGAUCUAAUAUUUGUUUUCUCUUGUUUUUUGACAAACCGGCACCUAUUGGGUCACCAUCUCAGUCAUAAGAAUGAGUCAUACUAUGAGCUUCUACUUACGAGGAUCGACAUCUGUUAUUGUUAUAUUUUGAAACCAUUUUCAAUCACUGGUCCACCAUAUACCAUAUGAGACACUUCCCUAUCUUAGACGUCACCAUAUUAAUGAACCUUUAAAGGUAACAUUUUCUGAUGAGCAUCUAAGAUGCCUUGGAGGGUGUUAUCUUUUUAUUAUCUUGACGGGAUCAAAUAGGCGGGAUUUAUUCAAUUGAUAUAUCGUAAACUUAUCUCUUUUGGAUGCAGGCUUUCAUCAUUUUUAGUGUAGUGAUGUCUGGUAAGUCACAUUUUUUGCACACAUAAUUGCUUUAUGUCUCUCUACCGUUUGUCUUGCUCUUAUUUUCUCUGGCAUCAGCUUGGGGGCUGAGCCUGGUGCAAUAGUUGAGUUGUAUGUUAGUGGCUCACAAGCAUAGAGCUUAAGGGUAUGUUUGGAUGGAGGGUUUUGGACGGGAGGGGAAGACUUACUUUUCUCUUUUAAAUCAUUGACACUGUAAAAAGUUUUUAAAAAUCAAUAAGUGUAUUUGAAGUAUUAUAUGAUCAUGUUAUUCUUUUAUAGGCCCUUAAAAACCCUCCUAAACAGACCCUAAGGCACAGGCCUAUUUAAUUUCUUUUUUUAUAAAGAGUUUUUAGCUUUUCAAAAUUAAAAAGAACUAGUUCAAUUAAUUUGUUUUUUAAAACUAUAUUACAAAACUUGUUUUUGACUAUAUUACAAAACUUCUUAUUUUUCCCUUUUUCUAAUUAGUCAGGCUAAACUGUUAAUUUUGGUUACUUGCAGUGGUUAUGAUGAUUUGUGUUACUAAAGUUGCCAAGUCUACUUUAGAUAAGGCAUUGGCUGAAUGUGAACAAGAUACGGAUGAAGCUUCAUCUUCCGCGGAACAACCCAUGGUCGUUGGACGUUCAGUAGAUCUCAAUGAGCCUGGACGUUCAGUAGGUCUCAAUGAGCCUCUUGUAGAGAUAGAACAGGAUCAAGAACAAGACAAUCAACAAAAGUAAACAUUCACAAUUUGUAAAUUCUUUCUCCAUAACAAUUUAGUCAAACUACAAAAAAUUCAAGGAAAUUGCCCAUGAGUGGUAGGCCAAAAACAUACAGCAGUAUGAAUGAGUGGUAUAUCUCUAUCUAAUCUCCGCCUAUUCAUAUAUCUACUUGAAGUCGAUAUCCAUUUCAUCCUUUACUUCUAAUGCUUGAAUCAUAAAGCAUGUAUUUCAAAAUGUGUCAAACAGGUUUCAGCAUAAUCCUCAUCCUCAUCCUCAUCGUGUGAUAUAGAUGGUACAAGAAUACUUUCAAAUUUACAAUCACCGAUUACACACAAAUCUCAUUUUAAAACGCAAACUCUAUGUAUGACUUGCGUGUUAAAUCAAAAUUAAAUUAGUUUCGAGUGAAAUCACAAGUCAAAACGAGUUUACAUGAUUUUACUCUGUAUAAAAUCGGUAAAAUCAUCUAAACUCGCACGUUUUCGCCUAUAAUAAAAUCAUUUAAAUUCACAUGUUUCAAAAUCUACUUGGAUGAUUCAAAAUCUCAAAAGACUAUUUUUUUUAAUAAUAGUACAUGUUAAUAAUUAGAGGAAUAACAAUAUUUGCAACUUACUUUUUAUAAUAGUAUAGUUCAUCCGUUUCUUUCUUAUUAUAGGUUCAAUGAAUAACCAUGUAUAUAAUAGGGGUUUCGUAAAAAUAAAAUAAGUGGGGUUAAAAUUUACAAUACAAUCACUUUUUAUUUCUAUCAUAUAUAAUAGUCAUUCUUAGAUGAAAUGCAUAAUUUAAAGAGUCAUAUUUAAUACAUGGAAAAAAAAAUAUUAUUCUUUACAAGAUAUAUAGUUGUUAGUGCUAUUUGUUGAGAAAAUCAAGACUUUUUGACAUGUAUAUUUUCAACCAACAAUAUUUAAUAUUGAAAUGCAUGACUAUAGUCAUAAUUAAUUCAUGAGAAUAAGAGAAAAUUAAUUGAAUGUGAAUUAUCUAAAAGUAGAAUAAACUUUUUAAUAAUUUUUAAAAGUAGAAUAAACAAUUUUCUCUUAACAAUUUUACACGAACUAGAAUUUUCUCUUAAAAAAUGUAUAAUAUGUGUGUUAUGUACUUGUGUGUAGUGAGUGGAUGGAGAGGAGUACAAAUUUUAGACUCACGUAAUAAGUUUAUGUUGAAAUGUACUAUACUGUAAAUGAAUGUGGUCAAGAAAGUAAAAGUGCAACACAUACUUAUAAAAAAAAAAUUCAAAUAUUUGUGCAGACCAGUGCCCCAAUGUCUUCUACGUACCCCUUCCUCCCCGAGUAUCUGCCUUUUCAUUCGUCGCAUAUUCUUUUUCAACCUAAAAAUAUUGACUAGUUUUUCAUGGUUGUAGUUCAUAAACCAAAGGAAAGUGAAAAUGGUGUUUAGGUCCCCAUGUUAAUGAUUUUGUACGAAAAAAUUAUAGAAUUUGACUGGCAGCAACCAACACUAACCACCAUAUCUAUCUUCUGUUGUAACCAACAACCUAGGGUUAUGCUUGUUAGUUACAAGGUUCCCUGUCACACUUUUAAGUGUAAUUAAAAACAGUUAAGAGAAAAAGGAAUCAAUUUCUUAUCAUAUGGAAUUUAUUUAUUCAUGUUUGAUUAAAUCAAAAGCAACCCUCCUUGCAAUAAAGGUGAGGCAACAUCACAUGCUGAAUCAAAAAGCAACCAAUCACUUGGUUAAUCAAAAAGCACCUUUAAUCGGGUGAUUGAACUCAAAUGUUUAUUGAACUUCAGUUAAGGUCGAAUGGUUGGAAAAAUUCACAAAUUCUGAAACAAUUAUUGAUCAGAUUUUAUUACCUUCCGACCAAACUCUUAAUUACUAUGACCUCCCGAGAACCGGAUGGUGAUUCCGAAAAUAUGAAAAUCAACCCUUGUAGUAUUGGUGCCAAUAGUCUCAUUUUUAUUCUUAGGGAAACAAAAGAAAAGCUAUACACUACUAAUUUUAUUAAAUCUUGUCACAAAUAAACUUUGCUACUGUAAUGUUGCUGAAUCUUAGGGCUCAAGGGACCCUACCAAUUCCUUGAUGGAAGGGCUAAACAGAAUUCUGUAGUUGUAAGGUUUCUAAAGUGCAACACACACUUUAUUUUAUUUAUUUAUUCUAUGGCAAUAGCCUCAUUACUAAGUUUCACAAGAAAAAAAAAUAGAGAGAUUGGUUCACAAAAGUGAAGUUUCAACAGCAAAGAAACAUAUACUGCAUAUGCAAUGAGCAAAGAAUAAGAAACACAUGAAGUCUCUCAUGGGAAAAGUGCAAUGUUUUACCCUUCCAUCUCUUGGCGGUUGCUUUGACGGUUGUCGCGACCAAGCAAAAGGCUCGGGAUUCGGAACGAGGAUAUGGAACCUAAGUGAUAAGCCAGUGGAGCUGCAAAUAAGGGUGGGAUCAAUACUGAAAAAGAUUCAUACAUUGAAACCAGGGUCUUCAAAGAGAUUGAAAUGUAAAAACAUUUAUAAGGCAUAUAUGCCUAAGAGUGGAAGUGUUGGUGGAAGCUUGAAGAACUUGUUGUAUUCCUAUGAUGAAACUAGUCACCCUUAUAUUUGGAUUCAUGACACAGGGAGUCAUAAUUCUUUAAGGAUGUUUAAUCAACAAUAUAUUAGCCUUGAGGAUAUGAAGGAUUCUUCUGAGAUCAAAAUCUUUAGGGAUCAUCAAAGAGGUUCCAUAUCAGUUAGGAAGAGAAUGAGACCAGAUUUCUGCUCAAUUUGAAUUUCACACUAUUUGUUUCUUAUGAGUUGGAACUUUUUCUUUCUUUUUUUUUUUUUUUUNNNNNNNNNNNNNNNNNNNNNNNNNNNNNNNNNNNNNNNNNNNGGUUACAAGUUGGAACUUUUUCUUAUGAGUUGGAACUUGGAAGCGACACUUUUUAUCCAUUGUGUGUUUUUUUUUUCCUUUUGCCUAUAUAUUGUUGUAUGAUAGUUCUUUUGAACAAUGAAUAGAAGUUGGGAUUUUUAUUGUUUUAGACUACAUAAUAAUUGCCUAUAAUUGCCCGUUUGGAUUAACUUAUUUUUGAGUUUAUGCAAAACAGUUUAUUUAAAUAAAUUGUAUAAGUCAUUUUGUAUAAGCCAGAAAUAAGUUAAUCCAAACGGACUCUAAAAGUAGCAAUUUGAAUUUUAAAGAUCUCAAAUAUGAGUUAAAUUAGCAUUACCUUUAAUUUGGGAUGGGUCCAUUUUGAUAAACAACUUAAACUUAUAUAGUAUACACACUUAUCAUGAUAAGUGCUUAUGUAUAAGCUUACAUAAGUUAUUUUUAUAGAAAAAAUAAAAUAAAGUCAACGAUUUUAUGUUUUAAGUUAUUUUUAUAAGCUAUUUUGAUAAACUUAUAAAAAUAACCUGGAAAACAUUUAUGAAAAAUAUCAUAAACUGAUUUCAUAAUUCACAAACCCCUAACCUAAAACAAUUUUAUCCAUAUUUAAAAUUCUAAGAUAAAAUUAGUACUAAUACUAAUAUUUAUUUAUUUUUAAUGAACCUGUUUAUAUUUUUCCUUCCAAGAACUAGGGACCCAUUUAGAUUUAGCUUAUUUUUGAGUUUAUGCAAAUAAAUAAAUUUUUAUGUGAAUUUAUAAGUUUUUACUAACAAAAAUUGUAUUUUUAUAAGUUAUUUUUCAUAAACUACCUUAAAAAAUUUAUAAUAUUGCAUAAAAAUUUAUUUACAUAAAUUAUUUGGCCUAAAUUCAAAAAUAAAUCAAUUCAAACGGACUAAGAGGUUUCCUCAAAAAGCAAGAAAAAAAAAUAGGUAGGGUCUUUACUCUUUUUAAGUUUAGGAUGUGUUUGGAUUCCGAGUUAAUUAAUCGUUUAUUUAUCGCAUAAAUUACUACUAGACACUAGUAUUAUUAUUGUCUUACUCACUCUUCUUCUCGUCUGUCGACUAGUAGACCGGUAAACUCCGUCUCCUCCGGCAGUUGUGCGACCAACCACCGCUCACCUUUGUUUAUUCUCCUCUCAGGGUUUGUAUUUAAUACUUGUUCAUCAUGUUCAUUGCUCUAGUUUCAGCUUUCUUCAGCUUUUCCUUGCAUUUGCAUCUUUAUGUAAAUAGUACACUGUCUGUUCUUCCAAAAAAAAUAAAAAUUAGGGUUCUCCUAACUAUGAUUUUAAUUAAACUUAUCAUUAAGGUUCUUUUGUUCUUGUUUUCCAAGUUUUAUAAUUCAAAUAUAAUGCCCUUGUAGUUUGAGAUGCUUAUUGGUUAACAUGUUUGAAUUAUUAAGUAUGGAUCCUUUGUAAUUUGAGCACAUUUGUAUUGUUUAUUUUCUUAAUAUUAUAAACUGUUUGUCUUAUUGACUUAAUUUGGGCUUAUCAAUACCUUGUUUUGUACUGUAAUUGAUUUUCCUUUAUCUUUGUUAAGUAUCUCCUCCUGGUGCCACUUCCUGUAUUGGGCCAGUCCAUAUAGAGCUAAGCUCUGAUUUAAGUAGCAUAGCACCAUCCUGAGAGCCGAUGUCCCGACAGUUUCACUAUACAACGCUUUAUUUGGCCUUUCCGGUUGGUCCUUCCGUAGAUAGGCAUCUCCAGAAACUAAUUGGUAUUAUAUUACUACUAGAGAAAAUAGGUAAAAUCCCACAAUUUACAGUAAAACACCUAGUGUAUUGGAGAGACAGAGACUCUAGACUCUCCCAAUACCGGAAGGCCCCAACUCUAUACAAAUGAUAAGAUAGCUCACUCUUAUUUAUAGGCAGCAUGUCUUACUAUAUCUAUUAACUAACUCAACCUAACUAACCAACUCAACUCUCCAUAACUAAUUACUAAUUGAACCUGUUGACAAUAAAAAAUUGACCUAUCACAACUUCAUAGCUUGUCUUGCUAGAGUGAUGUAAACUGAUCCUUCUAUAUCAUACUUUCAUAUUUCACAGAUAAAAAUGCCAAAAGUGAUGACAAGCCGAGUUAAAUACCCAGAAGGCUGGGAACUAAUUGAGCCUACGCUUCGUGAACUUCAAGGAAAGAUGAGGGAAGGUUGGAAUAUUAUAUGUUUUGGUCAUUCUUUACUGUAUAUGUUUUUUCGUUCUGAAAUCUUUGAAAAUUAUUAUAUAUUUAUAUCGUUAUAUCCUUUGUGUGGCAGCUGAGAAUGAUCCUCAUGAUGGCAAAAGAAAAUGUGAGACUUUAUGGCCUAUAUUCAAAAUUGCACACCAGAAGAGCCGCUACGUAUUUGACCUCUACCAUCGGAGAAAGGAAAUUUCUAAAGAAUUGUAUGAAUUCUGUUUAGAUCAAGGAUAUGCCGACCGCAAUUUGAUUGCAAAAUGGAAGAAGGUAUUUUUUAUUUAAUUUGAAAGUGCAUUUUUUUUUCACAGGGAAAGAAAUUUCAUUUGAGGGAAAUUAGAAUUAGUACAACCAGGAGGAAGUGAGAAACCCAUAUCUAAGAUAGCAACACUUCUCACACCAAAAGAGUAGGAAGAUGUAACCCUAUUUCAAAUUAAUGGUGAAGUAACCUUGGGUAUCUGGAUAUUUCUCAACAACCACAUACACCAUAGGCCUGCAAAUGUUGCACACUGCCUUCAAUUAUAAUCACCUUGUAUCUGUCAAAGAUUUUCUGUAGAACCGUAAAAAAUUGUCUAAUGCUAAAAGAAGAAAUUGUCUAAUGCUUCUGAGCUAGAUCCUAAAAGUUCAUUCAUUACAUAGGAGAUGAGUCACCUUAUAGUACAAGAAGAAAUUGUCUAAUGCUUCUGAGCUAGAUCCAUAUAUGACACAACACGCAUGUUAGGAGACGCAGUGGUAUAAAGAUGUGAACUUGCAACACGUCAUUAGUAUUAAACAUGUUGAGUAACGUCCACAGUAAAAGACUUUAUCUUUUUGCGAGCUUUUGGUUUUAAAAUGGGUUUUUCAGUGAGAUCUUUUAAAGUUAUGCAUGUCAUCUAAGUAAGGAACCUACAAUGUCUCAAGUAAAUUGAUUGAGAGAUAGAUAGACUCAAUUAAUACCUAACGGUGAUUUUAGUUCCCAGCUUUAGCCAUAGAUUUUGGAGAUUCUACCACAAUUUUCUCCGCACCAUCGUAAAGGACCAGAUUAACAUUAAAUGAAUGAAGCAAAUGGCGUGAGUCUUGGAAACUCCCCUGACUGGCUUAAUUGAAAAUGUUGUUUGAGUUUCCUACUUUAAGUAUGUCUUAGCUGUGGUUCUGGCAUUGGCUCUAUAAUAUGAAGAUAUAAAAUCUGAGCCAAUGCCCCCUGCUAAAGCAAUUGCUUUACAUUAAAACUUAACAGCAUAGCCAUCAUAGUUGCUACAUGGAUGUCUUUGAUUGUGAGAUAUACUAUAUCUACUCGAUACAGUUGGAGAGUCUUAUUGUCGGUCUGUUAUUGAUAUCAACGCUUUGGACAACUUUUUUCCAAGAGAUACAAGGUCAAUGUUAUUGGCAAAAAAUUGUUUAAAUAUUCUGAAAACCACUAAUAUCACUAUCUGUUUUUCACCUUUUGAUUGCUGUCAGUUAAUUGAUCUAUAUUUUUUUUUUACUUUUAAGAACUUUUGAAAAUGAAAUGUAUAGCUUUUGUCUGAGUACUUGACUCAUGGUGCUUUUGUUUCUGAAUUGCAGCCUGGUUAUGAACGCCUAUGUUGCUUGAGGUGCAUACAGCCACGCGAUCACAAUUAUGCCACAACUUGUGUUUGCAGAGUGCCCAAGCAACUCAGGGAGGAGAAGGUUAUUGAAUGUGUUCACUGUGGUUGCAAGGGUUGUGCAAGUGGGGACUGAUCGAACCUCAAUUCUAUUACCUGGAGCCUGGAGGGUUUGUUGCGGUUCAACUUCUCCACUUUGUAUUACCGUUUACUAACUUCACAAGAGCUAUGCAUUGGGAUAUUUUAAGUUGAUUAUUAUAUUAUCUGCAUAGUUCAAAACCUGACUCGAGUUUUGUAACAUUUGGAGUAGAAUAAUCGAACAACUUGUAAUACUUUUUUUGCUCCUUGUUGUAUUAUUAUUAUUUGUUUAGACUUCUUCUGCCUUUUCUCAAUAGUCAAUACAAAGCAUAAAUAAUGUUUUGUUACUUCAAGUUUAUCCGUAACCUAAUCAAUUUUUUAUAUUGCUCCUUUUUCUAAGCAAAAAACUAAAAAAUUCGGGUAAUUUCGAGAUACUGCUUGAUUCUUGUCAUCCAUCUUCAGUCAACUCUUUUGAUGAGGAAAUCUUCAAAUUUGAUUGACAAUUUUUUGUGAAAUGUACUUCUAACUACUUAUAGUGUAAAUGUUUAUUACAUAAGUAGUUUUAUAAGUUAUUCUGAUGAUUGUGUGAGAAAAUAAGUUGAAUACAACUUAUGAACAUGUCAAUAACAAUUUUUAUAAGCUCUAUUAAAUGGUUUCACAAUGUAAGACCAAGAGUAGUUGUAUGAAGUGCUUCUUAAACCUUUGACAGUAAUUUCAAAUAUAAGAUUAAGACAAGAAUCUCAACUACCUCCUUUGUUUGCAGUUUUAAACAAAAAUCAAUCCUUAGACCAUGAUACAAUAAAAAAACUGAAGAUUUUUAUCAACACCAUCUUUUACUUUUUCAACACAUUAUAUUUUAUAAUAUAUUUUUUUAACUAAAUAAAUUUUUACGCCAAAGAAUGAAAGUGAAACAAGGAUUAAAAAUUAGCAAGUGGUAUUCUAUUUCUGAGGAAAGAACUGGAUCUGGUGGAGUUGACACAAACAUUGUCUGUCCUGUGUCUGUGUCUGUGACUGUGUGUGCUUCAGUUGAGAUGGGUGGUUCAUGGAGUAACGGUAAUAACAGGAACACAAGAAGAAGAAACAGUUACCAUGAACACUAUCCACCACCACCUCCUCCAGCAUACUAUUAUCAUUACUCUUCUCAGCCUCUCAUGCCACAACCACCUCAAGGUUACUUUCCUCCUCCUCCUCUUCCUCAUCAGUACUACUCAAAUGGAUACACUCCUCCACUUCAUAAUCAUCACCCUCCUUUUCAUGCAACAACAAAUACUCAACCAUCUGAUGUAGAUUUAAAUUUAAAUGUUGUUCAACCUCUACCACUUCCACCACCACCUUCUUAUGUUGACCAUGAAACCACUAAGAAAGUAAGGAAUGAUGUCAACUUGCAUAAAAACACUCUCCAGCUCCAUCUUGAUCCCAACAAUCCCCAUCACCACUUGAUUUCCUUCGAUUUCGAUGCCCUUUUCGAUGGCAGGUUUGUAACUCUCUCUUUACUUAUAUUUCUGUCUAGUUUCACUAAUGAGUAGUAAUUAGGCUAUUAGUUUCUGUUUAUCUUAAUUAUAUUUGUCUACUUACCUAUUAACUGAAUAUUCAGUCAUGUAGUAGAACAACAACUCAAUGUUCAUAAUUGAAAUUCUUUAUGCUCUUCAAUUUUACUUUUGUCUGUGCAAUCUCCUUAUCAGCAAUUUUUCAUUUAUUUAUUUGAAAGCAUCAAAUUACCUAAAUCCUGACAAGUUUACCUGUCAAUGAAAGAGCAGUUUGAAACCACAAUUAAUGUGUUAGGUUUAGAGCUUCAAUCAGUUUGUUUGACUAAUUAUUAUUUUUGUCUUAAUAACUCUCCAAUUCUCAAGGGAAGGGACUCUGGUAAUCCAGAGUUCGGCCGGGAGGUAAGAAAAGUAUGGCCAAGGAUUGUUCCAAUCAAGAUUCAAACUUGAAUUCUUUUGAACGAUUUGUCUUUAACUGCCUGAGUUCAACCACUUUAUUUUGUUUGACUGAUUAUGAAGAGAAUACUUGAAUGAUUAUCAAAUGUAUAUAAUGGAAUUGGUUUUGCUUGUAUAAUGAUGUAAUACUUCUUUUAUUUGUAAUGACCAGAAUUACGAUCUUCUACUUAGCCAAAGAAGAAGAACAUAAAUGUAGGUUUGUUCCUCUAUUUCCCGAAGCAUUUGAGCCGAUCACGUUUCCAUUCGAGAAAGGAGUUGGCCAGAAAUUUUGCCAGCCUUCAGGAACAGGCAUUGAUUUAGGUUUCUUUGAGUUGGAUGAUCUUUCAAACCCUUCACCUGAAGAAGAUGAAUUUCCCCUUGUAAUAUGUGCCGAAACAACCCCUUUGGAAGAUCAUGAAACUCCUGCUAGUUCCUUAGUAGAUGCAUCCCCUCACAUGCAAAUAACUCAAGCUGUCUUGGAGAAAAUCGAUGGUAAUGCUCCUUUCCAGGUUAAAGUUAUUAGGCAGAUUCUAUGGAUCGAUCAAGUUCGUUAUGAGCUCAGAGAGUUAUAUGGAAUUGGUAACUCAACAGCACCUGAUUUUGAUCGUAAUGAUCCUGGAAAGGAGUGUGUAAUAUGCAUGACUGAACCCAAGGAUACUGCUGUCUUACCUUGCCGACACAUGGUACCAUUUCUUCUCCAAUCUACUAUGUUAUAUGCCGGCACCAACGGAUACUAGUUGUUUGGUUUUCACAUCUGUAUUAUGUUGUUGCAUUAUUUUCAUAUUAUAUUUGUUCUCUUUUACAGUGUAUGUGCAGUGAGUGUGCAAAAGCUUUGCUGUUACAAUCAGAUAAAUGCCCUAUAUGCCGCCAAGCUAUCGAGGAGCUUAUAGAGAUCAAGAUAAACAAUGGCGACGACCAAUGACAUCUUUUUCCCUGAAGCCAAGCUGAAUUAAGUACAUGGUUUUAUUUUUAUGUUUUAUUCACUUUAUGUAAAUUGCAGUCAAUAAUCUGUUUAUAGUUCAUAUGUACUGUAAUUGUAAUCAAUAGAAAAUUAGAUUCUAUGUGGUUAUCCUGUUAUUGAAUGUUACUCCUGCUCAUUUAAAUUGUAUAGGUGAUUAUUUUGUUUUGUUUUGGUCUCUGUGUGAUAUUUAAGAGAGGAUCAUUAUUCAUUUGUAUUGUGUAGAUCUGAUUUGAUCACUGGAUGACCUCUUUGUAUGUAUCUUGAGGGUGAAGGUUCCUCUAUUGUAUUGUGUUCGAAAGUUAUCAUAACUUUAGUCUUUAAUUUAAUCAUAUGCUAGGGAAAAUAUAUUCAGGGAUCUUUAAGUUUCGCAUUUGUGUCAGUUAGGUCAUUUGGCCUAUAUAUAAAGCAAUUGUUAGGGAAAAAUUUACAGUCAGUGGCGGAGCCAUGAUUAUUAUAGAGCUUGGGAAAAAUUUCACAUGUGACAUAAUAUAUAAAUAGUCCAACAAAAAAUCCAAGUUUUGUCCUAAACUAACCCCUAAAAUACCAACAAUUUUGGCCAGAGACGAGCAACUGCCUAGGCUUGCUGGGCCUUAGAACUGCCGCUGUUUGCAGUAGUUAAAAUUUUAAAACUUCUGAUCUUAAAUGACUUUGAUGAAAGAGUUGAUUUAUCAAUGAGUGUGAAGUGAGUGGUAUAAAGAAAAAAGUAAAGAAUUUAGGUGUUCUUUUUCUUCUUUUCACUAACAAAAAGAAAGAUGGUCACCUAAGAUUGUCACACAAGGCACCAUCUAUGUAGAUACAAAUACAGAAUCUUCCAAACUUGGAGAUGUUCUCAGACAUUAACUUUUGAACAAAUGUAAAAGUAAAUUAAUCAUAGGUAACAGGUCUUUUUUAUCUGCACACUUUAUUUGAAAAAUGGAGCUUUCACCAUUUCAGUUUGCAACAGCUGAGGUGUAGCAAAUAUUUAAUCCUCAAGAUUACUAAAACAUGAACAAGUUUUACUUGUAUCUCAGUUUUCAAUUGCUUCACUAUUUGGAAGUCUGCAUUGCAAGGUUUUGGCUUCAAAUUAGCAUAAAGCUGAUUUUCAUAAUUUUACAUACUUGCUAAGUUGGCAAAUGAAAAGUGGUAAUUCUGUACUUUUAUAAUGUGAAAAAUUGCAUCACAUAUGCCUAAAUAAUUUUGAGCUCAAAAUAUCAUAAUUUAUUAGUUCAACUGUUUAUUUUUUUAUAAGCAAAUUUUAGUGAUGAAUUUGUUAAGGGUGAAUAAUUUGUUUUCAUCAAGAAUCAAACCUUAAACUAGCUAACAGAAGACCAAGUGUUGGGUUAUGACUUAUGAGGGGACAGUGAGAGGAUCAUUCAUAUUGGACCUCAGAGCAAUCAUACAAGUGAGUUUGACAUCAUAUCUUUACCCAAAACCUUAAGGCAUUAUAUUUAUGAGUCAUCAAUCUCACUUAUAAAAUAUUUAACCUCCAUUUCUUUAAGCAGUGUGAGACUUAACUCAAAUCACAUUUGCCACAACAUCUGCUAUGUGAAUUGGGAAGAAACUUUAUCACCGAAAAAGUCAUUGGUUUUCAGUGAUGAUACUAGAAAAUGAUGAUUGGGGCAUUUUAAAGAAAAUUUACAAGCUGUGGGUAUUAUAUUCAUUAUUCAAUUCCAGAGAUUCUCAUUAUUACUUGGUAAACGGUCAUUCUUGCAAUUCACUACAAGUCUGUCUCUAAAAGUAAUCAAUUGACUCAAGAUUAAUGGCAAACCACUCAAGAUUAAUUAUGAGAUGAAGAUAAGAUGAAUGAAGCCUAGUUUAAAUCUUAGUUGCCUCUCAUUUUCCUCACAAAUUGUUUGAAAAAUUAACACACUUGCAAUAAUAAUGUAAUUAUAUUUGUAGGGUUGGCACAAAUAGUUAGACACGCUACUUACACCUACUUACACCGACUUGAAUCAAGUUCAAAUUUCACGAUUGAUAAGAUACAUAAAUUCAAUCGUAAGUUUUUUAUUGAAGUUGAUAGUUCUUUUUGACCUUGCAUGAGGACGUCCCUCUCGUUAAUAUAGAUUUUAUAUUAUAAAGGAAGUAAUUUUCUUAGAAGCUUUUUUUUUUUUUUUAUAUAUANNNNNNNNNNNNNNNNNNNNNNNNNNNNNNNNNNNNNNNNNNNNNNNNNNUCCUAGAACAUGCGCUAUUAGAUAUGACAAGAGACAAAGUAUAAGUAUAUAAUUGAGCUUUUUAUUUUUUGUCGAGCAAAAGAAAAAAAAAAAAGUAUAAAAACCAAGAAGCAGGGCAAGGUACCACCGUAUCAAUCAAAGUUAAACAAAAACUUGCUACAAUUUCAAGACACCGACUCAAAUAUAUUCUAGUAUCUUUUACUAAGAAACAACCAAAAAUAAAAUGCCUGAAUAUACAAAGUAAAAAAGAAAUAAUUGAGGCAUCUAGAAUAGAUAUUCAUGUGUCCUUCACUUGCAUGCUGUCCCUUUUCUCCACUUGCUUUUUCUAGACAAAGUACUAGUAAUUACCAACAAAAAUUUAUAUACACAACUACAAAAAAUUUGAUUUGAAUCCGAAUGAAUGUCUUAUAUUUAACAAACAUAGUCAUUUUCCAGUUGAAUUAAAUUUUACAUUUGACUAAAAUACCACUCAUAAAAUGAAUAUAAGUAAAAUGUUUGAAGUUUGUAUCUCAAUUUUUACAUGUAUAAUAUCAAUAGUGCGUUAGGAUUUCACACAUUCAGAUAUCCGAAAUAGGUGGUUGUACCAUCAAGAUCAAACAGUUUAAAUAUAAACUUGGUGUUUUGAAUGAUAGAACAAAAAUAUCUUUUUCCACCACCAUCAGUAUUUGGCACACUGAACUGUCUAAUCUCGUUCGGAGAUCAAUUAUGGCAUCAAGUGAUUUCAGUCUCUUCCAAAUCAUAGUUGCGGGGAUCAUAUCGUAAUUCUCCUUACUAAGUUCAGCGUCUAUCAUCACUGAACUAAACUAUUGCUAAAAUAUAUAUAGUUUUAAACCAUUCAAUGUUGAUGGAACGAUCACUAUUAUCAUAAAUGCAUGAAAAUGUGUAAAAUCCCAAUUUAAUCAAAAAUCCUCCCGAGUAAGUAGAAGGAAAGGUUGAAGUUGAACAAAGUAGUGUAAGAAUCAAAAUUUUCCCAUAUGGUCAAAGUUUCUCAACACCAACACUCCAUUAUUAUUUUCCCAUACCAUACUAAAAUCUAAAGCAAUAAAAAAAAAAGAGAGAGACCAUGUGUGAGAUGCAAAUUACAACUGAAAUUGUACUCUUGUAGGUGAAACUCAAUAAAUACUCCCUUCUCAUUGUGCACUAUAAUCAAUCACUAUCCAAACACCAUGUGGUUCAUCAUGUGAAGUCUUAAACAUAUAUAGAAGUGGGUUUUGCAUGGCUGCCCAAGUAAUUCCAUAUUAGAACCUUAGUGACAAAUUUGUAAAUAUCAUAUCCCAAAUAUAGAUACCCUAUUAAACUCUCGCAUAAAAAAAAAUUGCCCAUCAUUCUUUCAUUCUUAUAUUUAUGACAUCACAGCUGUGCCAGUCACAAUCAUAUAUAUUAAAUUGAACACUAAAGUUAUUUUUUGCCAUUAAUUUGGUGGUAUUUGAGGUCAGAAAAAAAUCCGCAAUAUAUUAUCCACCUUAGCCACAAAACAGAAACCUUUACAUUUUAGCCAAAUUCUACUAAUUAUUAUUAUUAUUAUGAGAAAAAAAAUUAGGCGGGUUAAGAUAUCAAGACAAAAAAAAUUAUUGACUAUGAGGUCGUGUGGAAUCUUAGCUGAAUUCUUAUGAAUUGAAUCAGCCCAUGUUGUCAAAUUUUUGUUAUUAAAAUAUGUUCAAUCUAUAUUAUAUUUUUUGGUGAAUAAAAAUUUAAGUGAGUUGGAUUAUAGAAACUCAUCAGAAUCGAGACAGACUUCAAAGUUUAUAAAUAAUUUAUUAUAGAAAUUCUUGCCCUGACGAUAAAAGUUGAACAUAUAUCUUUGUGAAUUAUUUUCUCCGUAACACUUUAUAAGUAAAAAUGUAUUUUUUAGAUUCAUUGUAUAUUUAAUGUAUUGACCUAUAUUAUUGAUCAUAUAAAUUAAAUAUACAAUGAACCUAAAAAAUAUAUUUUUACUUAUAAAAUAUUACGAAGGGGUUACUCCGUAUAAGUCAAUUGUUUACCGAUUGAGUCAACCUUCAUAUAUUUAAUCGGCUCUAUAUAAUAUAGAAAGAGACCAUGUGUUGCUAAAAUGUACUACUAGUAACUAAUAAAAAUUAGGGUCAUGCUAAACAGUGCCCCCUGAGACACUAGUUAAGCAUACUAAAAAAGGAAACAAAUGAUAAAGUUAAUGAUGAGAGAGAAUAAUUUUUCACAUAACAUUAAAUUCACAAUUUAUGAGAUAAAAUUUCUAUAUUUAUAUCUUUAAUUAGUGCCCCGGAAGCAUUGUUUAGCAAAAAAUUAUUCUAAAUUCUAAUGCCUCUUUGAUUAGACGGAAAACCAAUUUGCUACAUUAAUUGUUCCUUAAUUAAUUAUGACCACUAACCACCGUUCAAAUACACUUUGACGGGUAAAGUGUCAUAUUGAAAGGAGAAAAAAGGAACAACUUGAUCACGGUUAAGCUUUUAAGAAUGGAAACAAUAAUUUUGUUUAAAAAAAAUCUUAAGUGAAUAAAACAAAGAAAAAAACAAAGAAACCUUGAACGUGAUUCUUCUGUGUAUCCAGAGGGCUAUGCUGCUAGCUAGUUUUUUGUUGCUUUCUUUUACCUAACUUUGCUGUUAAAGUAGGACAUGCAUGAUUUAAUUUAAUCACCAAAAGCAUUAUUAUUUAAGUUGAAAAUUUUGACCUAUGUCUCUACUUUCCCUUUUUGAAAACCCAUAAAACGUGACAAGCUGCAUCAAAUCCAUUUUCAUUUCACACAAGUUAAGUUUGGUACCAACACAAAGAAAAAACAUAAAUGAAUUUAACGCAGUUACUACAUUAACACAAUAAUCAGUAGAGGUUGUCCAAUUAAAUUAGUCGGUCCUAAGGUUGGAUAUCAAAUUUUCAAAAAAAAAAAAAACGAACCAACGGUUGAGGCCUGAGAUUAAUUAACAAUGUAAAACAAUAGUCAAAUUACAUUGAAUCAAUUAGAACUGUUGGAUUAUAUUUCUACGGUUGAGAUCGUUUACACCGUCAAGUUUGGGUGUUAAAAAACACACCCCCCAUAAUUUCUGGUGGUCACACGGUUUUUCAUACAAGGAUGUUUUUACUUUUUUAACCAAAAACAAAUAAGUUGUAUUUAAUAAUUUCCUGUUCCGGAAUAACAUACAUAACUGUCUUCCAUUAGGGUAGAGUAGAGAGAGGCACACCCACCCUUCCUUGUGUGAUAAAUGAUGACAAAACUCUUUUUCAAUGGAACGGAAUAUUUCCUUAGUUUGUUGAUAACUAUGUAUCAUCAAGGGACACUCCGUAUUAUUUGGGUUUAGUUACUUUUCAAAGAGUUCAAUGAAUCUCUUUUUAAUACUAAAGCUUGUACGUAAUUUGAAAUUUUAAAAAAUACCUAUUAAAAUACGGUGUUUAUCAUAAGUUAUACUCGCUCUGUCCCUUAUUAUAAGCAUCAUUUUGUAUUUUUCACGAUAUUAAGAAAAGUUUGUAGUGUAAUUAAUGUGUACUUUUUAGAUAUUAUAAUUACUAAAUUGUUCUUGGUGAAAAGAUGUAUUUGUAGUUGACUUUAUGAAUUCCAAUGCAAAGUAUGGUUAUGUUUGGAAAAGUAAUAAUAAAUGUGUCUAGAAAAUUGAAACGUGACUUAUAUUUAGGGACAAAUUUUAUGUUUGAAAGAGUGCUUAUAAUUAGGGACGGAGGGAGUAGUUCAAUUGAUAAAUGUUGAUAUUAUUAAAUUGGCUUAAUUAGUAAAAUAGUCUCUUAAAGAUAUUUUUGGUUUCACAUCGGUCUCUUAAAGAAAAAAAUGUCUGAAUAGGUCCCUUAAAGAAAAAAAUGUCUGAAUAGGUCCCUUAAAGACAUCUCUGUUAAUCAGUUUGGUCCUUUCCGUCCAUUUUUUCGAGGACCAAACUGAUUAACGGAGAUGUCUUUAAGAGACCUAUUCGAACCUUUUUUUUCUUUAAGGGACCUAUUCGAUCUUUUUUUUCUUUAAGGGACCAAUGUAAAACCAAAAGUAUCUUUAAGGGAUCAUUUUACUAAUUAAGCCUAUUAAAUUUGAAUCGAUAUCUUGUGGCUAUGUGUGAAUUUAAGUGGUUUUUACCACUUGGUCUGGAGACAAAAAAAUAAAAUUUGACAUCAAAGUUUGAUAAUGUUAGAAGUCUAAUAUUGGCUAGAGACAUGACAUAGAUAGCCUUUAUAAAUGUAGUGCAAACUUCAACUCUUAAACUAUUUUUUGUGAUUGAGUAUAAGUCUCUUAAAUUCUAAUAGAUAAUACAAUUAUAAAUUUUUUAGUUAAGAAUUUAUUUAAAAAUAAAAAUGUAUGUACCGAAAAAGAAUUGAAUAAGUUUGAGGUCAUUAGAGUAAAUAAACCAUACACUUUUGAUUUGCUUAUUUAUUUUGUUGCAUAAAUUCAUUUUGAGUGUUUAAUUUUACAUAUUUAAAAUCAUUAUCUCAUUCGAAAGGUAAUUCAACCUCGCCUAAAAAAAAUAAGAUGUUUCACCGUAAGGUUGAGAAUUUCUCUUAUAUAAUUAUAGAGAUAUUUAGAAGCGUCUUCCAAAUCAAAAAUAUCAAAGAUACUAAAAAUCUAAUCUAUAUAAGAAAGUUGAUUUUGUUCUUAUUAAGUCCAAAACACCUUUACUUAAUUUGCUGUCAUGUGUCCCAAAUGAAGAUAAUUGAUGUCCAAAAAUUUGAUAACUGAACUAAAAGUACACAAUAUUUGUCAAGUAGCCAUAUUUCAUCUUAUGAGUGCAAAUGUUACUUUAUUGAAAGACAUAGUUACAUUUUAACCAAGCCAUUUAGUUACUUUUGAAAAUAAAUGAAUGUGACAAUAUCUUUUGUUUUGCAAGUUGUCAUGAGUUAUCUUUUAAAGACAAACUAUGUCUUUUGUUUUGCAAGUUGUGAUGAGUUAUAUAUCUUUAAACUAUGAUAUUCAAAUUUUAAAAGUAAAAAAUAAAAUCUAUAUUUUACACGGGAUAAAUUUUAACUAUCAUAUAUGGAACAAAUUAUCACUGAUAAAAAAAUUAAAAUAAUUAUCAUAAGUGAUACAAGUUCUUACUAAUAAAAAUUUUAAAAAAACAAUUUUACACUGGGUAAAUUCUAACCGAUAUAUAAUUAUUAUAUUUUGGUACAAACUGAUAUAUAAGUUUUAACUAUCAUAUACGGGAUAAAUUAUCACUAAUAAAAAAUUCAAAAUAAUUUUCAUAUGUGAGAUAAGUUCUUACUAAUAAAAAUUAUUUUUUUUAAAAAAAAUAAAAAUAAAAAAAUAAACAUUUUUACACGGGAUAUAUUCUAUGUAAAAAAUAUAUUUAAAGUAUCUAAAAAAUCAUUAGGACACGUGAGUUACCUCCAAACUGUGAUGGUUUCUCUCCCAACCCCCCUCAAUUCUUUUCUACCCCCAAAAAUCCAAGUUUGCCCCUUGCGGUUUGAAAUAUUUUUGCCAAAAAAUUUUGGUUCGUAUUCACCGAAGCCAAAUAUUAGACCAUUUUGGUAACUGCAAACCGAACAUUAGUGUUUUCGGUACACAAAAAAUGAAUGUCAGCUUGUUCGGUAUCUGCGAACCGAAAUGUCCUAGAUUUCGGUACGUUGGUCGCUGGAAUUAGGCCAUUUUCGGUAGAAGUUUACCGAAAUAAUUGUUUCGGUACCUGCGAACCGAAAUGUCCCAGAUUUCGGUAAGUGGUUACCGAAAUUUAUCAGAAUGUCAGCUUAUUUCGGUUCGUAUAAACCGCAGUACCCCAUGGGCAAAAACGGAAAUUCAGGGGGUAGAAAAGAAUUGAGGGGGGUUGGGAGAGAAACCAUCCCAAACUGUAAGGUAAACAUGCAAAUUAAGAUAUAUUCUAUGUAAUUAUUUUUUUCAGUUUAAAUAUUUAAAAUUGCAACCAACAAACUAUAAAUUAACAAAAUAUCGUCGUAACGUUACGACGACUCGUGCGACAGCACGAAUCUAUUAAUACUAGUUUAAUUAAAAGCUCAGCUUUAUCAAGGAAACAAAUUAGAGAAAAUGACUUGGUUUAGGGUUUAGAUUAUUAUAGAAUAAGAAUAGGACAAACAAGUUAAAGCAUGCUCCAGUAAAAUUUAAAGAUAAAAAUGCAAUUACUGGAUUGUAGGGGGAAAAAAAUUGGCUACUGUCUGAUAAUGAUGUUAGCAAAUAUGCGUAACUACCGUACCUAAGUAUUUAAUGUUAUUCCGAAGUGGAAUUGAGUUGAGUACAAGUGUCUACUUGUGUUCUACUAUAUCAAUUAAUAACAAAAAAAUGUGUAUAAUAAUGUUUGAUAAUGAUAUUACUACUAAUUGGUGGUACAAUUCGUCAAAAAAACAAAAAAAAAAAUUGAUGUUAAUUGGAACAAAGGAUUGUGAAUGAUGUAUUUUAGAAGUGUCAAAUCCUCACAACUUACAAGCAACAACAUGAAACGGCGUUCUAAUAUCCAAAAUCCAGUGUUUAGCCUAUAGUUUAAAAGGUCAGAAUUAUAGGAAUUUUUAAAUUAAAUUGGAAGGCACCAACUAAUAUUAAAAGCAAUGUGAACACAUAAGAUGAAGUCAAAAGUGUCCGAUUGGUAGUUCCUUUUAAGAAGUCAAAAUAAAAAUCAAUAAACAUUAUUCAAAGCACACAAUGUGUUAAGAAUAGGAUAGUAGCGGUUAAACUAUUUGAGAAAAAAAAUACACAAAAUACAACCAUUUUUUAAGGUCACGAGAGGAACAAAGAUAGGUAAAAAGAAAGUAACUACAAAAUACAGGUAAAUUCUAAUAUGGAUCACUUCAUCAAGUGGUCCAUGGUGGACCAGUCAUGAAUAACAUUAUAACGAAUAUGAAUUUUACAAAAUCUACCGUUGGAUUGAAAGUUUAUAUCAUAUAGAUCAUCCAUAGAAAAAUUUAGAAAAAUUGAAAAUCAUUUGAUAUGUUAUUGAGACACAUCAAGAUUAACGGUUUAUUAAAUAACGUAAAUCUUGAUGGGUCUCAAUAACAUAUCAAAUGAUUUUCAAAAAAUUUUAAAAAAUUUAUCGAUGAUCUAUACGAUAUAAACUUUCAAUCCAAUAGUGAAUUUCGUAAAAUUCAUAUUCGAUAGACCACUUGUCCACGGUGGACCACUUGUGAAGGUGGUCCACCGUAGCAUUAGCCACAAAAUACAACCAUUUUUUUAGGUGUUGUGUUGUGAAUUUGUCGUAAAAUCACACUAAUAAAAGAAUUUGAUGCAUGGAGCAGUAGAAUGGCAACCAAAUAAUUAAGCGGAAUAAGUAAUAAUAAUAAUAACUGAUAAACAAGAUAAAGGAGAAUAAAGAAUACGAUAAUUUGUUUACCUAGUUCGGUCCAACAAUGACCUAGUCCGGGGGAGAGAGCAGCUCCUCCGUUCCACUAUAUCAAUUAGUAACUUUACAAAGAAAUUCUCAAUUAGGUUACAAUAAUUAAUCCUAAUUCUACCCAAAACCCGAAUCUCUUUCCGUGACCAAGAGACUCAAUUUGAUAAGUGUUUCUCAAGGUGUAAUCAAUUCCUUUGUCUAACCCUAGAGUCAACACGAGAGACAACCUCUUUUGUUUCUCUCCAAAACCCUAGCCUUGUGUCGGCGGCAACUCCUAAUUGAAAACCCUACAUUGUUGCUCCCUUAAUUUUUCUAUGAAUAAAGCACUCCCUAUUUAUAGAAAAAUAUAUGCCGAAAAACUAGUAAUAAAUCUAUUUUAAAAUAAAACAAAUCCAAGUCAGAGUGCCCUCCAAGAAAAGACUUUUUUUCACAACAAAUCAAUAAACCCGCGUAUUUCCGCCCGGGGCGUAGACAAUUCCGCCUGGGGCGGCAAAACAUAAACUUUUGCUUUUCAUGCACACAAAUUCCGCCUGGGGCGAAAAACUUUCUGCCUGGGGCGGAAAAAACAGCAACAUGAAAACUUUCACUUCUUGUUACUGAGAUUUCAAGGCAUAUUAAAAAAUUCUCCACAUUGCCUUUAAAUCAAUGGUGACCCCAUCAACCACCGCACCCUCUUCAGACUCCGAACUGGUCAGGUCCGUACCUCCCAGAAGAAAUGCUUGCUCCCAACUAUCAUCGGAAUUUUAGAUAGCUCAACAAGCUUCAUCAUCCCUCUUCAGCCCCCAGAUUGUGCCUUUUCCGUCCUCCUGUAGAAUCGCUUGCCUUCGACUAUCCAUGGAUUUUUGGGAUAGCCCUACAAGCCUUCACCACCCUUCGACCCCCCGAAAUGCCUUCCGUCCUCUCGAUGUAUUGCUUGGCUCCAAACCAACCUUGGAAUUUUAGGCGAUUCCACAAGCUGCAACAUCAAACUCCCCUUGCACCCAACUACCUCCAGCAGUCCUACAAGUUCUCAAGUUUGAUCAUUGUUGCUUUCAAUUGCCUCCCUGAAGAUCCUCUCAAGGUCUUGCACUUCUUCAGCCACAAUUGAAACAUAAUCCACAAGGUCUCCAUGGUCAUCCCCUUUGGUUCAACAAUACCACUCUCCUCCCUAUCUCCGAUUAGAUAGCCAAGAGCUAAUGUUGACUGUCUACCACUAUUGGAAGACUCCACCUCAAACUGAUUUUCCACCAAAGUAUACCCACUAUGAUCUCCACCUUGUAACACGCAAGACCUCUUCAACUAUCUUUACCUUGUAACACGCAAGACCUCAUAAACAUACCUCAUAUCGUGUAAAGAAACUCACGAUUUUCAAACUUCGUAAGAUAAACUGAACUCAUACCUUGAACCUUCAAGCUUUCCGUUUUCAAGAUGAACAACUCUACCUUCAACUAACUCUAGAGUCUCAAAGUAUUCAUUCUUUGACCACAUGUGAUAGGAGCAUCCAACGUUCGUGACUCAACACUCCAUUGAUUCCCAACUUCCACUAGCACCUCCACAUAAUAAUAAAGUUGUUGUUUCAGAAGUAACCUGAGUAUUCUUAGCACCGCCUCUCCAGGCUGAUGUUGAGUAUUAUUACCACCGCCUCUCCAGGCCGACCUUCUUCGCAAUCUCCAUUAACUCUUUAUCUUCGAGGCACUAGGUAACAAGUAACAACACUCCAUGUUUUAUCCAUCAUCCCGAACAUUAAAAUUGCUUCCGUCUUCACUUUCCACAAUUCCAAAUUGCUUUUGGAAAGUCCCUCGACAUCCAACUUAGAACCCAUGACGCUCGCUUCAAAUUGUUCCAAUUGCCCCGCGAUGGGCGACAAUUGUUGUGAAUUCAUCGUAAAAUCACCCCAAUAAAAGAACUUGAUGUGUGAAGCAAUAUAACGACAAUCAAACAAUUAACUAGAAUAAGAAAUAAUAAUAAUAACCGAUAAACAAGAUAUAGGAGAAGAAAGAACACAAUAUUUGUUUACCCAGUUCGGUCCAAUAAUGACCUUGUUUGGGGGAGAGAGCAGCCCCUCCGUUCCACUGUAUCAAAGAGUAACUUUACAAAGAAAUUCUCAAUUGAGUUACAAGAAUUAAUCCUAAUUUUACCCAAAACCUGAAUCUCUUCCUGUGGCCAAGAGACUCAAUUUGAUAAGUGUUUCCCAAGGUGUAGCACAAAGAUAGCUCGCCCACCCUAGAGUUGUACCAAGAGAAAACUCUUUUUCCUCUCUAAAACCCUAGCCCUUGUGAGGUGGCAAACCCUAAUUCUUGCCUCUACAUGUUGUAUAUAUACGGAACACUGAAAAUAAACACUUUCAAGUCCCCAGAGAAGACACCAACCCGAUCCCGGAAGUUGUCUCUAGACACUAACUCACGAACUCAAAGCUAAAACGAUCGGCCCAUCGAUUAGAAUCCAAUCAACAACUUCACGAGGCAAAGACUAUGAAAUUAAAAAAGUAUUAAAUGGUCAGAAUAGAAAAUGACUCCUUCCCGUGAAAAAAACACGGGAGAGAUAUCCCUUCCCACUAGUACUCUUUUCUUAAGCACUCGUCAACUUGAAUUGCUAGAAAAACAAUUUAUUUUGUCUUGAUAAUUAGGGUUUAAGAUAGGAGAAUGACAUCUAUUGUAUAUGUUAAAUAAUUAGGUUAGAUCACAAGUUUGCUUUACCCUUUUUGUAUUGAUUCCAUUUAAUUGUUUGACUUUGGAGGAAUGGUUCAUGCAUGCUUAUAUCUUUGUUGAUAAACUUGCUAAUUUCACAAAAGAGAAAAACAACUCAUAUGUAUUUUGAGUAAUGUAGGUUAUAUGAAUUGGUGAUAUAGUUCUCCUUAAAAUAGUAUUGUGGGUUCGGGCCACUCAACAUAGAUUAGUUUGGAUAAAAUGUCAUUAUAUAAUAUACUCCUUUAGUCCUUAAUAUAAAAGAUAAUUUACUUUAUAGAUUCAUAGAAUGUUGAAUGUAUUUGGUCUACUUUUUAGUCAAAAUAUAUCAAUCAUUCCAUGAAUCUAAGAAGAUAAUUUUUUCUUAUAUUAAAGGGAGUAUAUAUUAUAAUGUGAAGAACUACCCUUAUUGAUUUUGAGAUGAAAUGUGUUGACCUUUUUACUUCUGGAAAAGAAUUGCAAGAAGGUAUUGAAUUGGUUGAUUUCAUAAUAUCCACCCAAGUUUUCUACAUCAAACAGUUAUAAGUAACUUUCGGUUUCUUUAAAAGGAAAGUUAUUCCUAUGAGACAUCAUGUUCAUAUGUGAACCAAAAUCCUCUCCAUUUUUUAUCAUCUUUAUUUUUACUAUUAGUAAUGUUUUAAGAAUAUAAAUGUUAUAAUGCAAGAUUUAGUGAGUCCAACUAUUUAGUAAUAUGUAUUUAAAAAUUAUUGAAAAUUAUAGUAAUGAAGUAGAAAAAUAGGGUGAAAAAUAGAGAGAUCCCCAACUCUCGCCACAAUAGCUAAUAUGUUAUGUUUGGCUUAUCCACCAAAGCAGGGGUGUGAAAAGAAAAAAUGGGUGAUGCAUAAGAUAUUUCAGAUAAGAAUAAGAUGAGGUAGCUCUUCUUUCUCAUGUUCAGUAAUGCAUUUCUGGUGUUUUCCAAAAAUAGAAGACCUGUAGUUAGGUAAUUGAACACCGACAAUAAAUAUAUGAUCCAUCUACUAGUAAACUCAAUAAAUAUCUGUUGUCAUUUUAUUAAAAUUUAUUAUCUUUUUUUUUAUAAUAAAAAUUAUUUUUCUUUUUGAAUAAAGAAGGAAAAUUCAAUCUAAUUAUUAAAUUGGGGACCAUAUGUUUACCUCAUUUAAUAGAAGAUAAAAAAUGGCAGAAAGGGAAGAUCUCAAAAAAUGAGAAAUUUUGGAGUAGAUAGAUAGAUGCAGCUAAAUUUCUUGUAAAUUCAACUCUCAGAGAGAACUGAUGUCAAUGUACCAAAAAGCAGUUCUAAAAAAAGAAAUUUACAAGUCAGCCACUCCCUCAAUAAAUGUCAUCAAUAAAAUUGUGUUACUCCAAAUUUGUGCUUGAAGAAACUCAAAGUACACUUCAUUCUUUUUCUUUUUGACUUUGUGUGUUUUUUCUUUUUCGCAUUCAGUUUAAUUAAUUUGGGUCAGUUCUAACAUUAAGGGGGUGUAUUGGAUUGAGAUUUUAUGAAAUUUUAAAAGAUAUUUUUAUGACAAAAUUUUUUUGAGGUUUUCAAUUAAGACUUUUAAAAAAGUUAAAUAAAUCUUGUGGUAUUCAAUCAAGAUAAAUAAGAUUUUUUUUUCAAGGCAACAAAAUUCGUUGGUAUUCAAUUGAGAUUUGUUCUUACUUUUAAAAUGUCUAUUGGUAUUCAAAAAUCUACCGAUUUUGAUGGAUUCUUGUUUGGAAUGGAUUUUGAGAGACUUUUUAGUUGAAAAUACACUUGACAGACUUUUUCAACAAUCUCACCAAAAACCUUGAGACUUUUUUGAACUCUCCAAAACUUUUUACUUUCAACUGUAUAAAAUUUCUUCUUCUUCUUUAUUAUUUUCACAGUUCAUCAUCACUGCACCAGGUUUUUUCUUCUUUUCUUUGUUCACUUUUUCAACAAUCUCCCCAAAAGCCUUGAGAAUUUUUCAAACUCUUCAAGACUUUUUACUUUCAUCAUCAUUAUACCGGUUUUCUUCUUCUUUUUCUUCUUCUUUACCUAUCAAAUAUGUUUUUUUGCAAAAAAAUAUUUUAACCAAUUCUACAUCUUUUUUACAAAGUUUUGAUUAUUACAACGGCAAACAAAUUUUUUUCGUCACACAUUCAUCUGCUUCUAUUUUCCAUCAAUGGUGGUGGUGGUGGUGGUGAUAACUUUUUUAUUGGUGAUUAGAAACAUAUACGUAAAAAUGUACAAAAAAAAAAAGAAACAUAUACCUAAAAAAAAAUGUAAGGUUUUUUUAAAAAAAUCUUUGGAUUCCAAAAAAAUAUAAUUUCUUUUAUUAAAAUUUAUUGAUUCUUUUAAAAUUUUCCUAAUAUACAAAAGUUUUCUAAUAUAUAAAGUGUUAUGAAAUCUUGAUUGUAAAAAAGUCUUUUGACAAAAUCUCUCAAAAUCCAUUCAAAUCAUGUGUUAAAAAUCUUGAUUGUAAAAAAGUCUUUAAAAUCUCACAAAAUCAAUAUAGUCCAACAAAAUCUCAUAAAAUCAUCAAGACUUUUUUUGCCAAAAUUGUCUCAUAAAAUCUCAAUCCAAUAAAUGGUUUUAACCCGCUUUAGGGAAUCAAAUCAUAUUUCUCUCUACUAAGUUCAAUGUCAAAUAUCAUUGAACCAACUAACAAUUGGUAUAGUUUUGUCAUCUCUUUUGUCUUAAUUUAAUGGCAAAGAUCGUAAAAAAAAUAAAGUAAUUUGAAGAGAGAGAAACAAUAACAAAAGUGCAAUAGUCGUAAUUAGUACAGAACAGCGGGAGAAGAUUAACGGUAAAGAAUCUAGAUCUGUAAAUAUUAAUUAAUCUCUCAAAUUUGGACCUGGAUUUGGUGCAGUCAGCACCCAUGAUUCCACAUGCAGUCACUGAAAUCAGAACCGUUUCAUUGAGAUCAGACGUCUUAUAUUUAAAGAUAAUAUUUUUUAUAUUUUAACCACAUUAAAUCUGAACCAUUUGAUUUUAAUCCGAUAACCGUACGCUAUGAUGCACCGACUGCAUCACAUUUAAAAUCCACUUCCCUCAAAUUUAGCUACAUAAAAUUCCAAAAAUUGGACUUCAAUUUAAAAAAUUGGAAUCAUAAAACAUUUGGGUCAAAUACUUGAUGCUUACUUUACUGAAUUUACUGAUGAUAAUAAUUACUAGAACUUUAAAAAGAAAAACAAAUCUCACAUCAGAUAUGAUAGUACUAGAAAUUUAUCACACAUUAUCUCUCCAGUCUUGUAUCAUUGUGAUUUAUCAUCAUUUUUUAGCAUUCCCACCUCACAUUCUUCAAGUCAAGCCAAGACAAAAAAAAAAAGAGUGAAGGAAAAGAGUGAGGUUUAAAUUAACAUGGAUUCUUAGCCAAGCCAAACAACCCACAUGGCCACGGUUAAAUUAUGAAGAGAAAAAUAAGUUACUGUCAAAAAAAAAUUAUCUGAUGAAAUCACUUCUUCUAGUAGCAAAUACAGCAAUAAAUAAAGGCACCAAACAAAGAUGAAACUCUUGGAACACCGUUACCCCAUUUCAUAGCUUUUCUCUCAACAUGCAAUGACUACUCAUCAUUCUCUCUCUCCUCAACCUUGCUUGUUAGGUUUCCUGUCUCUGCUAUCUCAGAGACUUCAGAACUAUUUCUUUUGCUUCUAAUUUCUUUUUCAAAUAAAUUAAAAAAAUCUACCAAACAAGAAACUACAUUUUUUUUACCUCAUUUGUUCUCUGUUUUCUCAGAUCUAUAAUCUCUGUUGCCCAGAUCUUUAUUUAUCACAAGUUACAAACUUUUCUCCUGUUGGUUGGUUGGUUGUUGUGUAUAAAAAAAUGAGUAAAGAAGAAUUUUUGAAGAUACAGGUACUCCUAUCACAUUCUCCAUGUUUGUUUACUUUUGUGUUUUAUUUUGUUUGAUUUUUAUUUUGCUUUUGUUUUCAGAAAUCUGUUCUUAAAGUGAACAUACACUGUGAUGGAUGUAAACAGAAAGUAAAGAAAAUCUUGCAGAAAAUUGAUGGUAUGCAGCAUCUAUUAUUAUGAUUUAUUAUUUACAUUUUUUCUUAUUUUUCUAUGCUUUCAAUUAUUAUUACUGUCCUGAGUAAAACAAAACCAAACCUUAAUUUUACCGACCUAAAUUGCAUAUGUUUUUUGUGUUGAUUAAUGUAUGGCAGGGGUGUUUACAACUGAGAUAGAUGCAGAACAAGGGAAGGUUACAGUUUCAGGAAAUGUGGACCCAAACAUUCUCAUCAAGAAGCUUGCAAAAUCAGGGAAACACGCAGAGCUAUGGAGUGUACCUAAACCAAACAACAAUAAUCAGAAUAAUAAUAACAACAACAACCUUGUUAAUCAGCUGAAGAACAUGCAAAUUGAGAAACCAAAAGGUGGUGGUGGAGGUGGAGGAGGAGGAGGAGGAAACAACAACAAAGGACAGAAUCAAAAUCAGCAGAACCAGAAGGGUGGUGGUGGUGGAAACAAUAACCAACCCAAAGGUGGUGUUCCACAAGGACUAAACCCACAGCAGCAACAGCAACUCCAACUUCAGCAACAGCUACAACAACUUCAACAGAUGAAAGGGUUUCAAGAUCUACCUCAAUUUAAGGGAAUGAAGAUGCCACCUAAUCAGAACCCAAACCAGCAAAUGCCUAAAGCUGUUAAAUUUGAUGUGCCUGAAGAUGAUGACGAUGAUUUUACUGACGAUGAAUUAGAUGAUGAUUAUGACGAAGAUGAUGAAGAUUUCGAUGACGAUGAUGAGUUUGAUGAUGAAAUGGCUGAUUUACCACCUAAUAAGAUGAAACCCUCUAUGCCUAUGGGAAAUGGUGCUCACAUGAUGUUGAAUGGGAAUCAUCCACAGUUUAUGAAUGCCAUGAAGGGUGCCAAUUUUAAUGGCGGUGGUGGUGGUGGUGGAAACGGGAAGAAACCUGGUGGUGGUGGUGGUGGACCUGUGCCGGUUCAAAUUCAGGGUAUGGUUGGUGGUAAUGGAAAUGGAGGAAAGAAAGAAGGCGGCGGCGGUGGAGGUAACAAAAAUAAUGGUGGUAUNNNNNNNNNNNNNNNNNNNNNNNNNNNNNNNNNNNNNNNNNNNNNNNNNNNNNNNNNNNNNNNNNNNNNNNNNNNNNNNNNNNNNNNNNNNNNNNNNNNNNNNNNNNNNNNNNNNNNNNNNNNNNNNNNNNNNNNNNNNNGCUUACCGGCAGGAGGCGGUGGAUACUUUCAAGGUGGUGGUGGUGGUGGUAUGGGUCCAGAAAUGAUGCCAGGAAAUCCUUACCAACAACAACAACAGCAACAUCAGCAGCAGCAACAACAACAGUUAAUGGCUGCUGCAAUGAACCAACAACGGGCUGCGAUGGCGGGAGGAAAUGAUCAGAGAUUUCAGCAACCAAUGAUGUAUGCAAGGCCACCUCCAGCAGUGAAUUACAUGUAUCCUCCUCCUUACGCUUAUCCUCCUCCUCCAGAUCCUUACACACACUAUUUCAGUGAUGAAAAUACUUCCAGCUGCAAUAUCAUGUGAUGAUCUAAUUCAUCUCAACCAAGUGAAGGUUCAAACUAUAGUAUUUACCCUACUCUAAUUUUAUUAUGCAAUCAAUACCAAUGGAACAUGAGUUUUUUAUUUUCAUUUUUCUUUGCUUUGAUCCCCUUUUCAACUUAGGGGUUUCUAAUUACCUGUAGUUUAUAGAUAUCUUAUAAUAAUAUUACUAUUAUUAUUAUGUUCUUUGAGAGUAAGUAGUAAGUACUUCCUAUUUUAUUUUUUUUAUAUAUUAUAUGUGUUUAUAUUUUGGAAAUAGUAAUAAAAAUAUUUCAGAAAAAAAGUUAGCAAUAUUCUUGUUAUUGAGAAUGGAAUGAACAAAAUUCCCAAUUCUGUUUGCUCAUUUGAUAAACUCAUCCAAUUGUCUAUUUACUAAACAAUCAAUCACAUUGUUUGUGUUUGGGUGUCUAGUAUUAAAUUAUUGGCUUAUCUUAUUGUGUUAUGGCAUCUUACUAUAUCUUAUCUGUAUACAUUAUUUUGUGUCUCCCUUUGUUAUUUUGGGUUUGGACCCACCCAGUUGGAAUCUCUCUAUUUCUCAUAACAAAUGAAGUUGAUUUUAAUUUGGAUCUACUAUCCCAAAUCCAACCCAAACAGUGGUUUUCAAUCACAAUCUAGUAUUAAUCAGUGGUAUUUAUAUGUCGUUUUCUAAUUUUAAGGUUAUUAUGGCAUAUGCAUCUUCAUAACUAUCCUAUAAUUGUGUGGUUGACAUUGUAAUUGAUCAUAAUGUGUAGAAUUGAUGUUUCAUCCGAAGAAUUAUUGAUGUACAGUUAAUAUAUAUAGCAAUAUGUGUGUAGAAUAGAAUUGAAUUGUUGAUGAUAAUGGUGCGGAUAUGAUAUUAGCUGCAUAGUAACAGUUCACUCACUGUUGAACCAGCUGAGGCUCAACUAAAUGUAAUACUUACGUAACUGAACCAAAUCUUUAGCUGUACACCCAAAUCACCUGGGUUGGUUCUUUUUUUUUUUCUUAAAUGUUUUCAAGCUUUUUAGUGUAGUAUAUUUAGUUAUUGGGUCAUAAGUCUUCUAAAGUCAAAGGAGUUGUUUCUAUAAUUUGGUGUAUUAGUCCAACAAUCAAUAAAAAUAAGCCACAUACACCAAACUUUUAUUUAACAUGCAAUAUUUUUUGGCAGAUGCGUCAUGCCCCUAAAUUAUCGAGGGAUAAAUUAAAAAAAAAAACAAAGAGAAAAUAUUGAGCAUAAAUACAGAAGAUGAUCUAAUUUAAUUUUUUUUAUUCCACAAAAAUUUAGGUAUAGAUCUCAAAUAAUGUUGAUAAUGAGAUACUUUUUUUAUCAUCCACAACAGUGGUUUCAUGUUUUUGUGAGAGUUGAACUCAUAUGAAAUACAGUGUAUGAUCUAUUCUUUCCUAUAUAUUCAUUACAUAAUUAAUAUAUUUUUGUCUAUCAUAUAAUCAAAUACAUUAACUAUACAAUAAAUUAAAAAAAAAAUUACUUAGGGAAUGAGUAUUUCUUAGUACCUAUGGCUAUGCUAUUUUUUUUUUCAAUAUUAGUAAUUUUAUUAUUAAGUGAUUUCAACUCUCUUUUGAUCGCAAUUGCUGGUGAUCGAACUGUAAUACUUCUUACCUAUUUUAGCGUCAAUUAACACUAAACCAACGAUAUAACUAUGCUAUUUUUGUUUAUGAUUUGUUGAGGCACGCAAAGUAAUGUGGUAGUAAUUAAUUAAAGAAGGAAAAUGUUAAACAGAGCCCCCGGGACACUAGUUAAAUAUACAAAUAUAGAAGUUUUAUCUCGUAAAUUGUGCAUUCAAUGUUUUAAUUAUGUAAAAAGUUAUUCUCUCUCAUCAUUAACUUUAUUAUUUAUUUCAUUUUUUAGUAUGCUUAACUAGUUCCCCAGACGCACUAUUUAGCAUGACCCAUUAAAAGAAUGGUAUGCAUAAGUUUUGGAUUUUUAUAAUUAAAUAAUUGUACUAGUCUUUGUUUCAAUUUGAGGAAAUCAUGGAUGUGUGCGUGGUGGGGUGCACACCGAUGAAGUUGCGCAUGGACCCCAGCUAUAUAUAUCAAUCGGCCUAAUUAAUUAAUAUGCUCUUGUGACUAGUGGGGUUUAAUGGUGGGUCAUAUACAUCAUCACCGUCACUACAAUUGUGAUAAACACCAAAUUCUUCUGUCAGGAGUGAAUUUAUUUUACACAGUACUAGUACUAGUACUAAUCUUACAUCUUAUUUAAUAAUUAUGGUUACUGUUCCCACUAAGUAACUUAACUUUACAUCUAAAUUUCAACCUCUUGAAUAAAUCAUAGUACAAAUUGGAUAUAGUAGUUAGGUGGUGUAGUGUAGAAUAUUUAGGAUAUUCACAUGGGUUGACUGUUGAAUCUGAUAUGAUAUCAUCAUUCCUUGAGUGAGUACAUCAUAAUUCUUCACUAUGAUUCUUAUAUAAAGCUUUUAUUUAGAUAUUAUAUCUUUUUUGUCAUAUGAAUUAUAAGUUUAAAAUUCGAUCUUACCGAACAGAUUCAUGAUAUAAAUUAGUAUUUACUAUAAAUUUAUCUGCUAUAAAUUAAAUUAUCAAUUAUCCAUCAUUUUUUACCAAAUAGGCAUAUAUACAUGAAAUCUAAAUCUAUUAAGUAAGAAUAUACUUGGAUGAUCUAUGAUAUAAAUUUUCAAUAUAACAGUGAAUUCGGUAUUCGUUAUAAGUGGUGCAUCGUGGUGCACCGUGCACACCACUUGAUCAGCUCUUUCAUGUUAGCCUUCACCUAUGUUUUGUGUAUAUAUAUGGUUCGUAGGAAGAGGGGACGACCUGUCGAAUUCACAUCAGAAAUUGCCAGAACACAAAUGAAAUCUUGAAUUGCAUAUAGAAACAAAACGAACCAUUUAUGUCUCGGAGCUGAGGUAUAUGAAGAAUGGCUUUUUGGUCUCUUUCGUCCAAUGGUUAGGACAUCAAGUCUAUGGUCAAAUAUUUCAUCAAGUUUUCUACGCUACAUAAGUCACGAAUAUUAUUAUAACGAAUACGAAUUUUAUAAAAUUCAUCGUCGAAUUAAAACUUAAUAUCAUAUAGACCAUUCAUAAUUUUUCUUUUAAAAAAAUCAAAAAUCAUUUGAUAUGUUAUUGAGAUUUAUCAAAAUUAACGGUUGAUGAAUUUUUAUUGAAUACCGUUAAUCUGAAUCGUCCAAUCUAUCAAUACUUUCGAGAACUAAUUUGACAACGCGUCAUACUUAAUAAUUUUGAUAUUUUUAAGAGUUUAAUUGAUAUGCACUCACAGUGUAAAAUAGUUUUACACAAUCGUCCAAUAAAUCAUCAUUAUUUUAUCAUAUCGUAUCAAGAAAGUGAGGUAAAGUAGGGUAAUGUGGCGGAAACAUGAUUGAUAUUGGUUGACGGUGUAAACAAUUAAAUCCUAUUUUUAAAGCUGAGUUAAGAUCUGUGAAUGUGUGUGUGAAUAAUUGCAAAAUCCAGUACUUCAAUAAAUAAUUGCACCAAAACAAAGAUGAACUCUUGGAACACCGUUACUUUGCUUACCCCCAUUUUUCUCAACAAUGACUACUACAGUACUACUCAUCAUUCUCUCUGAACCUUUCUAGUUUUGUUUCAUGUCUCUGCUUUGAGACUUUAGAACCAUUUCUUCUACUUGUAAUUUCAUUCUAAAAAAGUAAAAAAUAAAAAAAGUCUACCAAACAAGAAACUACAUUUUUUUCCCCCUCAUUUCUUCUCUGUUUUCUCAGAUCUAAAAUCUCAGUUGCCCAGAUCUUUGUUUAUCACAAGUUACAUACUUUCCUUGUGUUAGUUGGUGGUUGUGUAUAAAAAAUGAGUAAAGAAGAAUUUUUGAAGAUACAGGUACUCCCAUCACAUUCUCAAUGUCUGUUUACUUUUGUGUUUUAUUUUGUUUUGUUUUGUUUUGUUUUAUCUCAUUUGAUUUUUAUUUUGCUUUUGUAUUCAGAAAUCUGUUCUUAAAGUAAACAUACACUGUGAUGGAUGCAAACAAAAAGUAAAGAAAAUCUUGCAGAAAAUUGAUGGUAUGCAAUGCAGCACUAUUAUGAUUUAUUUAUUUUUAUAUAGUUUCAAUUAUUAUUAUCCUAAGUAAAACAAAACAAAACCUUAAUUUUACCGACCUAGAAUUGAAUAUGUUGUUUUUGUUGAUUAAUGAAUGGCAGGGGUGUUUACAAUUGAGAUAGAUGCAGAACAAGGGAAGGUUACAGUUUCAGGAAAUGUGGACCCAAACAUUCUCAUCAAGAAGCUUGCAAAAUCAGGGAAACAUGCUGAGUUAUGGACUGUACCUAAACCAAACAACAACAACAAUAAUAAUAAUAAUAAUAAUAAUAAUAAUAAUAAUAAUAAUAAUAAUAAUAACAAUCAGAACAACCUUGUUAACCAGUUGAAGAACAUGCAGCAAAUUGACAAGGGAAAAACUAGUGGAGGAAACAACAACAACAAAGGACAGAAUCAAAAUCAGCAGAACCAGAAGGGUGGUGGUGGUGGUGGUGGAAACAAUAACCAACCCAAAGGUGGUGUUCCACAAGGACUAAAUCCACAGCAGCAACAGCAACUCCAACUUCAGCAACAGCUACAACAACUCCAACAGAUGAAAGGGUUUCAAGAUCUACCUCAAUUCAAGGGAAUGAAGAUGCCACCUAAUCAGAACCCAAACCAGCAAAUGCCUAAAGCUGUUAAAUUUGAUGUGCCUGAAGAUGACGAGGGUGAGUUUAGUGACGAUGAAUUAGAUGAUUAUGACGACGAAGAUGAUGAUGAAGAUUUUGAUGAUGAGUUUGAUGAUGAAAUGGUUGGUUUACCACCUAAUAAGAUGAAACCGUCUAUGCCUAUGGGGAAUGGUGCUCACAUGAUGUUGAAUGGGAAUCAUCAACAGCUUAUGAAUGCCAUGAAGGGUGCCAAU
rnacentral:lncRNA from 1 species